rnacentral:lncRNA from 1 species
UUGCCAAAGGUGUUAGGGUCAUCAAGGCUGAAGCCAGAGGUCAGGAGAGCAGUCUCGAAGAGAAGGAGAACAAGGUCCUUCACAGAUUUAUCAUUCUUGUCUGCAUCGGCUCUCUUUCUCAGCUCUUCCAUGAUGGGGUUAUCCGGGUUGAUCUCCAUCGUCUUCUUGCUUGACAUGUAACCAGCCAUGCUGUUAUCCCUCAAAGCCUGGGCCUUCAUGAUUCUCUCCAUGUUUGCAGUCCACCCAUACUCGCCAGUCACUAAACAACAAGGUGAGUCAACCACACGAUCAGAAACCACAACCUUUUCAACCUUGUCACCCAGCACAUCCUUGAUGACCUUGCAAAGACCCUCAAACUUUUCCUUCAAAGCUUCCUUCUUUUUCUUCUCAUCCUCACUCUCAUCAAGUUUAAGACCUUCCUUGGUAGCUGACACAAGCUUUUUGCCCUCAAAUUCCUUGAGCUGUCCAACAGCAUACUCAUCAAUAGCAUCAACCAUGUAAAGGACCUCAUAACCCUUCUUCUUCAGCUUCUCAAGGAAGGGAGAGUUCUCAACAGCCUUUUUACUCUCACCAGUGAUGUAGUAGAUAUCAUUCUGACCCUCCUUCAUUCUGGUCACAUAGUCCUUCAAGCUGGUCAUCUCAUCACCACUCUUGGUGGAGUGGUAGCGGAGCAAUUCGGCAAUUUUAGUCCUGUUCUGAGAGUCCUCAUGGAUACCAAGCUUGAGGUUCUUUGAGAAUGCCUCAUAAAACUUGUUGUAAUCUUCCUUGUUCUCUGCUAUUUCAAAGAAGAGCUCAAUGCACUUCUUUACCAAGUUCUUGCGGAUAACCUUCAAGAUCUUGUUUUGCUGCAACAUUUCUCUUGAGAUGUUCAAAGGAAGGUCCUCUGAGUCGACAAUACCCUUAACAAAGCUGAGGAAUUCAGGAAUCAACUCCUCGCAGUUGUCCAUGAUAAAGACACGUCUCACAUAGAGCUUAAUGUUGUUGGGCUUCUUCCUUGUGUCAAAGAGAUCAAAAGGAGCCCUCUUGGGGACAAAGAGGACAGCCUUGAACUCAAGUUGCCCCUCAACUGAGAAGUGCUUGACGGCCAAAUGCUCUUCCCAGUCAUUUGUAAGGCUCUUGUAGAAAGCAGCAUAUUCCUCCUUGGUAAUCUCCUCAGGCUUCCUCAUCCAGAUGGGCUUCUGUUUGUUCACCAAAGACCACUCGUGCGACACCUCCUUAAUCUUCUUCUUUUUCUUUUCUUCCUUCUCUUUCUCCUCAUCAACAUCCUCAACUUUCCCUUCUUCGUCCUUCUUAUCCUCCUCAUCUUCAUCAUCAGAAAUCUCCUUCUCAGUGGUCUUCUCAAUCCAAAGUGAAAUUGGAUAGCUAAUAAAUUCAGAAUGCUUCUUAAUCAAAUCCUUCAAACGUCGCUCCUCAAGGUACUCAAGUUGAUCCUCUUUCAAAAACAGAGUAAUCUUAGUACCCCUACCAAUGUUCUCUCCGGAUGUAUCCCUGGUGACAGUGAAUGAACCACCAGCUUGGGACUCCCACACAUAUUGUUCAUCAUCAUUAUGCUUUGUGGUUACAAUUACCUUCUCAGCAACCAAGUAUGCUGAGUAGAAACCAACACCAAAUUGACCAAUCAUACUAACGUCAGCACCAGCAGCCAGUGCUUCCAUAAACUCCUUAGUACCAGAUCUUGCGAUUGUACCAAGAUUGUUGACCAAAUCUAAACAACAGAAAUAUAUCACAUUAAAAUAUGUUCAAAAUUGAAACUCCAGAACUGAUUACACAACAAUUAAGUAAAAAUAAUAAAGUACUUACCAGCUUUGGUCAUACCAAUACCACUAUCAAUGAUUGAUAGAGUGUUAUUGGUCUUGUCUGGAACAAUAUGAAUGAAGAGCUCAGGCUGUGCAUCAAGCUUGCUCUUGUCUGUCAAGCUCUCGAACCUGAUCUUAUCCAAAGCCUACAGGUAAAAGAUUUAACAUCAUAUACCAAUUACAAACCACACCAAAAGAGCAUUUCAGUUAUGUUACACGCAUUGGAUUCACGAGAUCUUUCUUACUUACUCUUUUACAUUCAAAAAAACCAAAAAAAUGUACUAACCACAAACGGCUUCAAUUAAAUUCCAAUAAGCAUAAAUUAACGGCCAACUAAAAAUACAAAAGCUAAACCCUAAACCCUAUAAAUCUGUCACUAACAAAGCAUUAUGCAAAUCAAAACAAACAACCACUGAACAGAAAAUUACGCAUUAAACAUCAUAAUAACAUAUAUCCAAAGCCAAAAUAAACUCCAAAAUUUCUAUCAUGAAACAAACAAACAAAAAGAAAUCCAUCAACAUCGAAUAAGGUAAGAUCAGAUCCAUACAAUCACGUAUAAAAAAAUAAAAAACUAUUAUUAAAAUAGAACUUACAUCAGAGGCGUUACUGAUAAGCUCACGAAGAAAGAUCUCCUUGUUGCUGUAGAAAGUGUUGAUAAUCAAACUAAGAAGCUGAUUGAUCUCAGCUUGAAAAGCAAACGUCUCAGUAUCCGCCAUUGAUGAUAAACCUCUAACCUCCCAAUCCAAAACACACUAAAAAAUACCGUAAAAUGAGAGAGUUUUCAAAUUUCGAAUAGAGAGAAAGAGGAGAAAAUAUCAGAGUGAGGCAGUUCUGCGAUGCAAGGCUUAAGGAUACCUUAUAUAGGGGAACUUCAUUAGGGUUUCUAGAUCCUUCUAUUGACGUACUUUUUAAAAAAAAAUUAUUUUUGGGUUUACCUAUAUAAUAGUGAAUUGGGAAUGCGGGAGCCACUCAUUUAUAUGCUUAAUACUUUUCUUCGCCAAUUAGACUUUGCUUUCUUUUUUUUCUUUUUUCUUUUUUCUUUUUCUUUUUCUUUUUCUUUUUUUGACUUUUUUGUUAUAUUUAUUAUAAAUAUAUAAAAUAGAAGGAAAAAAUGUUCGCUUAAAAUUAAAUUAAAUGUUAAAAAAAUUAUAUUUAAUUACAAAAAUAGAAAAUUAAAAAAAAACAAUUUAUGAAUCAAGAUGAGAUGAUGGUUUUUUUUUCAAAUACAUUUUUGCGAAAAAUAAAUAAAAAUUACUAAUGGCGGAAAAUGCUUUUGGUUAAAAUCGUUUUUUAUAAAACGUGUAUGAUAAGUAACGUUUUAGCUUCCACGUUGGAUGAAGCUUCUUAUGAGAACUUUGAAAAUGACUUUAAAAUUUAUAGAAUUUAUUAAAAUUAGUGGGGAUGCGAUUUGGGUCCGUUGGAUCGGGUUUGGGUUCGGUUCGGGUCAAGUCAGGUCGAGUUAGGUAUUAACAUAAUUUUAGGUUCUAUCUAAAAAAUUGACUUAAAAUUUUAUUUAUGUCCCGAUCCGGAUAAAAAUGUUAAAAUUCGAGCCGGACUCGAUUCGCCCGUAUUGAAAACAAAUUUAAAUUUUUUUAAUAUUUAUGCUUAAAUAACACUAAGAUAUGUGCAAGUUAGUAAGGAAAUAUCUUUAAAAUAAUAGCAAAAUUAACAAUAAAAUAACAACAAAAUAGUAACAAUAUAAUAACGAAAUGACAGCAAAACAGUGAAAAAAGCAACACAAAAACAAUGGAAAAUGCAGCAGGUUUGUUUCUUUCUUUACAAAUUGGGAUCGGACCAAGCUGAGCAUGGGCCAAAAAUAGCUUACCCAAGACUCGACCCUUUUAGAAAAUGGGUUUCAUUUUUUUUGCCAAAGCUUAUUUUUUGAGCCUAUAUUUUCGUCUAAACUCUCCCACUUUUUGGGCUGGUCUUCGGGCCCAGUAGAGUGACCUGGCCCAUGUAAUACCCCGAAAAAUUUUACAGUAAAAUAUUAUCUGUGAUAUAGUAAAAUAAGGAAAUAAAGUGACAAAAAGAGAAAUUUUGAGUUAUGUCAAUACUGGGAAGUAUAUUAUGAUAUAUUAAUUCAAGAAAAUAUUAAAUUGUAAAAGUGAGAAAAUUUUUGUUGCACAAGAGUAAAUACUCAAAAUUUAAGGGGUUAAAGUGUAAAUAUGAAAAAUUUGAAGGAUCAAUAGUGUAAAUAUUUUAAGGGUGGAAUGAUCUAGAAACUAAGGAAAAUGGAUGGAUUAGGGCCAAAUUGAAUAGGUGAAGAACUAUGAGGGACUAAAUCACAAUUUUACCAAAUUAAAUGAUGACUCAAGGAUGGAAUUUUAAAAGAUAAAUAAUGUAAUAACCCGAAUUUUGCGGUUAUCAGAAAAGUGUAUUUUCGAGUCUCCGUUACUGAAAAACGGAUCCGUAAAUAUUUAUCAAAAAUAUUUAAAAAGUUAAUUAAGUGGUUAAUUAGAGUUUAAUUAAUUUAAUUUAGCUUAAUUAAGGAUAAUUGGGUAAAACGAUUAAAUUGAAUAAAGUGUGAAAGUUUAAUUAUAGAUUAAAAGAAAAUAAAAAAGGACCAAAAUGGCAAUUAUGCCAUUUAGUAUAAGUGAUGCGGCAUAAAAAGUAAAAAUCCAAAAUUUUUACUUAGAUUUUAAUUAUAAAAUAUGUAUUUAUUAGUAAUAAAUGAUAUUAAAUUAAUUUAUUAUAAUUAUAUUAUAAGAUAUUUAUAUGAUAAAUAAAUUAGUAUAAAGACAAAUGUAUAGUAAAUAAAAUAUACAAGUGUAUGGAUAAAAAUACAUAUAUUUGUAAUGUAAGUAUUUAAUUAUUAAUGGAUAUUUAUUAAUUAUAAAAGAUAUUUAUUAAUUAAAUAAUUAUAUUAUAAGAUUUUAUAUGAUAAAUACAUUAAAUAAUGACAAAUGUAUGGUUAUAAAUGGAUAUAAAUGUACUAAUAAUAUACACAUGAAUAAAUAAAUAAUAUUUAUUAUUUAAAUAUAAAUAUAUGUGUGUAUAUAUAUAUAAAAGGAAAUAAAGAAAGAAAAAAGAAUAGAAAUGAAGAAAAAGCAAACUAAACAGAGAGAAGGGGAAGGAAAGAAAGAAAAAGAGAAAAGAAAGAAGAAAAGGGAAAAUUGAAGGUGUGAAGCUUGGAAGUUUAAUAGGUAAGUCAAUUAAGUCCUUUUCUUUUAAUUUUGAUGUUUUAGAAGUUUUGGAAUAAGGUUUUGAUGAAGUUAAGUUGAUAUUUUGAAAGUUAUUAGAUUUCUAAAUAUUGUUCAUGUUGAAUGAAAUGAUUGAAUUUUGGGAUUAAAUUGAUAGAAUUUUCAAGUUAGAAGUGAAAUAAGGACUGAAUUGUAUGAACUGUGAAAUUUGGGGCAAAAUGAAAAUUAACAUUUUACACUAAAACAGUUUUGGACAGCAGCAGUAGUCUAACUUUGAAAAUUCACCAAAAAUAUGUAGAAAUCGAAUUAUAGGAUGAAUAAAAUAUGAAAUUUAUUGAGUCUAGUUUCUUAUAGAAGAAACGGUGUAAACAAUGAAAUAUAUAAGACCAUGGUUGAAAGAUACCAUAACAACGUGACAUGAAAUGAAUAAGACCAUGGUUGAAAGAUACCAUGGCAACAUGACAUGAAAUGAAUAAGACCAUGGUUGAAAGAUAUCAUGGCAACAUGAUAUAAAAUGUGUAAGACUAUGGUUGAAAGAUACCAUGGCAACAUGAUGGGAAAUGAAUAAGACCACGGUUGAAAGAUACCAUGGCAACAUGACAUGAAAUGAAUAAAACCAUGGUUGAAAGAUACCAUGGCAACAUGACAGAAAAUGAGUAAGACCAUAGUUGAAAGACACUAUGGCAUCAUGUCAAAGAUAAAUAAGACCGUAGAUGGGAGACGCUAUGACAUCUAUUGAACAAUUGAUAUUCAGGUAAUAUGUAUCAGAUGACGAAUGGUUAUAUGAAAUGGUUGUGUGAAAUGUUUACAAGAGCUGGUCAUAUGGAAAUAUAUGUACAAAAUAGUUGUAUGAAAUAAUUAUGAAGAUAGAUAAACGAAAUAAGUAUAAGUACAUGGAAUAUAAUUUAUGUUAAGUUUGAUAUAAACUAUUACCGGAAUAAAUAUACAUAAAAUAUAUGGAAAUGAUGGAGCAUGAAAUAUUGAUAUAAUGAAAUAAAUGAUAUAUACUUAUGAAGAAACGGUAAGAGAAUGAUAUGUUUCAUGACAUGUACAUAUAUGAUUAUCUUUGAUAUGUUGAUACAAGGAAAUUAUGUAAGUAAAGACAAUUAUUAAACUCAAGUGUGACAUGUCGAGAAAAUAAGUAUAUCAAUGUUGAAUUUAUAUGAAAUAUGUACUAGUGUACUAACAAUGUUGUUGCUUGAUGCCUAUACAAAUGCCAAGCUAUUGAUUGAAUGGUAAUAUAUUUAUUUAUAUGAUUCAUUGAAUCGAUAAAUAUUUAAUUGAAAUUUUUUUUGUGAUCUGCAAAUUUUAGUAAUGCUCUGAAACCCUGUUUUGACGACGGAUACGGGUUAGGGGUGUUACAGCUCAUGAUCAAGUCUAAUUAGAAUAGUCCUUACACUUUAAAUACUAGGUUUUUAUUCAUCAUUUGGCUUUUGAAGUAUAUUCAUCUUUUUAUAUUGGUACCUAAAUUUUUUUGUACCAUUUUAGUACUUGAAUUAUAAUUCUGUUACACUUUUUUGGCCCUUGCCGUUAAUGGGGUUUAAAAAACAACAAUCGAUUAGAACAUACUAUGUGUUCCUGUCGACCACUGAUGUGGAUGUUGACCAAGUUUUAUUCGAAUAAAAUUUUUUAAAAAUUAUAAAAAUUGUAAAAUAUAUAUAUUAAAAAAUUUGAAAAUUAUUUAAAAUUAUAAAUAUUUUGAAAUAUUUUUUUAUUCCAUAUAAUGCCUUUAUUUGAUGAUGUUGGUAAGGAAGUCAUUCAUCUUUCUUGGGUAAUUUGAUAAACAAUCGCCAUGGAUUUUGAUUCAAAGAUCUUGUAAAUAUGCAACAAAAGAUUGUUUCAAGAACAAGGAGAGAAAAUAAAUAAGUAAUCAACAAUCCUUCCAAUGCCAAAGAAGCACUAAUCUUUUCAAAAACUUGUAAAUCGUCAUCACCUGGAAUUUAAAUAGUGCUUCAAUGACCCAAAUUUGUGGGGGAGAAACAACAAGAAAGAAAAUUGUUUUUACCAUUUUUAAGCAAAAUACAAUCUUUGUAGGUUGCUAAUGUUCCUUUACAAGUUUACAUGUGUAACACCCUUUAUUCGAUUAAGCUCGGGCAAUGAACGUUACAUUUAACACUAAACAUUUACUUACGAAUUCAAAUAGUUUUAAAUUGGAAUCUUACAAAUGGUACCAGGUCCUUAUUAUGUUUUUAGGAACAUAAUUUAUCUAAUAAUAAAGAUUAAUUGCAUGUAAAUAUUGUUUUAAAUCUCAUAUCACCUAAUUAAAAUUUUUAGUCUGUAUGUCUCGAGACCAUGGCCUUCAUGUCUCAAGACAUUGCCAUGGCAUUGUAGAAAUUUGGCUUUGAAAUUGCCUUGUCUAGGGACAAUGGGGCUUUUUUCUCAAGAUAAAGUCCAAUAUGUCUCGAGAUAUGGCAAUGUUAUUGUAGAUUUUUAGGUUCACAGUUUUGAUGUCUCGAAACACAUUUCGAGUAAUACUUAUCGCCUGACCUGAUCGUCGAGUCCGAGCUACCGGAUGCUACAGUCGUUGCCGAAGCAAUUACAGUUAACUUACAAGAAAAUAAUCAUAAUCACAUGUAAUUCAACGUCAAACACAUUCAUUUAUAGUUAUACAAUCAAAACCAAGUCUUAUUUGAACUUACAAAAGCUCUUUUGUCAACCUGAGCUCGAAAUAGGACCAAAUUGCAAAUUUUUAAAAUUUCAAGGUUGACAUCGUGACAUCGCCAAAUAGUUUGUCACGUUGUGACCUCAGGCCACUCGACGUCACAACGUGAGUCACGUCGAUCGACAUCGUGACAAGAUAAAUUGCUCAUCGAGAUGUGAACUCUGUUUUUGAUAAAAAUUGACCAUUAGGUACCUAUUUCAAAUAUUCCCAAACAUACCUAUCAAUUUAUGCACCAAAGCUAACUUCAAUUGAACAAAAACAUACCUAAAGCAUACCAAAAACACAUUACAUUUCAUACCAAAACAAGUCAUCAACUACUUCCAUUCAACCAUUUCAACAUAGGUUCAACUAUUAUCAAUUAUUCAUUUUCAUACAUUCCGUCAAAUACAAUUCCAUAUAAAUCAACCAAACCAUUCAAUUAUCCAUCCUUACCUAAGCCAAGUCAUAUAGAAUCAUGUCUGUCGAAACCAUUUUUAUUUUAAAAAACGAAGGUCGACUUUAAAACGAAAAUGGAGUCGCCACAAAUCCUUUUUGUUUAGGUGUGAUCGGGUCACCUUGUGAUCGAUCAUUUUAAUAAAGCAUUUUGGUUUAUUAAAACAACAUUUUUGGUCUACGAAAAACUAAAAAGCAUAUUCAGGAGUUAGUUACGCGCGAGGAAGGAUUAGCACCCUCGCAACGCCCAAAAUUAGUACCGUAUUGAUCAAUUAACGUCCUAAUGUUGAAAAUUUGAAAAAGAUUUUAAAAUACAAUUCCUUUAAAACAUUUGGAUAACUUGAAUUGGAUAUUGAGAUUCUCUCGCUUAAAAGGAAUAAAAUAUUACGUCCAGCACGAUUGGAUACAAUAUUUUGAACCCUCGACACAAGAUCAUCUCAGGAUUUCCAAAACACAUGCACUUAAAACUUUUAAAAAGGAUAUUUGGCUAUUCGGCCCAAACGAUAAAUCGAAACCCAGCACGAUUGGGCACGAUUUAUCGAAUUUCCAAAUAUGAAACAUUGCCUCAUUUUAAUUCAAGAAAACAUGGAUGAAAUGUCAAAAGAAUAUUCCGUAUCUUAGUCGAAUGAAAAAAAACGAAACCCAGCACAAUUGGGCACGAUCUCUCAAACUUCCAAACACGAAAUAUGGCCAUGUUUUAGUUUAAGAAAACGUGGAUGAAAUUUCAAAAAAGGAUAUUCCAUAUUGUAGUCGAAUGAAAAAAAGAAACCCAGCACGAUUGAGCACGAUCUCUCAAAACUCCCCAAAUACGAAAUAUUGCCUCGUUUUAAUUUAAGAAAACGUGGAUGAAAUUUCAAAAAAAAAGAUAUUCCAUAUUUUAGUCGAAGGAAAAAAACGAAACCCAGCGCGAUUGGGCACGAUCUCUCAAACUCCCCAAAUACGAAAUAUUUCCUUAUAUUGAGAGGGUUCUUUUGAAACACGAGUGGUUAUAAAAGUGGUGGAGCCUAUUUAUACGAUUUAUUUGAAAAUAGAAAAAAAUGAAAUAAACAAUUUGAAACAAACAAUAAAUAUCAUAGCUCACCGUUCAUCGACUAUAGUACAAAUGUACAAAUAUAAAAAUUAAAAUGCAUAAAAACAACAAUAGGCAAACAGGUAAUAUAUAAAUAUUAAUGCAUAAAUAUAAAAUUUAAUAUAAAUGAAUUUCAAAAGAAAUAUUAUGAGCUGAAAUUUAACAUAAAUGCUGUACAAAACAAUUUACAACUAAAAUUAGUAAAAAUGUGACAUCAAAAUGUACAUAAAAAUUGCAACAUAUGCUCAGGCCAAAUUUUAAAACAAAUAAUAUACAUACCAGAUAGUAUAAAUGAACUAUUAGUACCAUUAUAAAAAAAAUAUGCUAACGAAUAUAUAUGAAUUACAAUCUAUAUAGUAUAAAAUCAAUAAUCAUAAAAAAUAUUUGUUAACAACUUAUAAUGCACGUAAAGUAGAAACUUAAUGAGUAUAAAAUAUAAAAAUAAUGAAUCAUAGUGUUUUUUUUUAAAUAUAUAUAUGUAGUAAAAUAAGAUUUUUAGAAGAAAUAAAUUGUAUAUAAAAAAAAUUAAAAUAAACAAAUUACAAAAAUAAAACAAUUUUUUAAAAAUGUAAAAUAUUAAAAUAGAUAAAUAAAAAAAAGAGUAAAAGAAUUUUAAAAAAACUAAGAAAGAACUCCAUUGAAACAAAAACAAAAUUCAGAGGAUAGUUUAAAACAAAUCGAAUUAUUAAAACAAAAUCUAGGACUUGAACUAGAUAAGCACUAACAAGCAAGAACUAAAAAUGCAAAUUCCCCAAGUCCCAACACACUGCACCUAAACGCGGACUAAACUGGAAUGACACGCAAAUUCUAGGGAUGAAUUUAAAGAAUCCAAGAAAGCAUAAGCAAGGCCCAAUGGAUCACUAGCACGGAGGGGGGGAUUCCAUGCGCAAAUUUCCCAUUUUGGGUUAAACAUGUGGGCCCAGCACCAAAUGGUGUUGUUUUAAUCGUAUGUAAAAGCUAAAAAAAAAAAGAAACCCCCUAAAACAACAGCCUUGCAGAUUAUUUUCAAGAAAAUUCAAAACCCCUUUUUAGACUCACCCUCUGCUAAGGUUUCGUCUCUGCUUUGAGAUGCCGCGCACGAGGGUCAUCGGCACUUCUGCGCCUCCACCUCUGACGUCGAACCACGGGAUAAGGCCAGGUAAGCUUCUUCUUCCCCGAUUUUGAUGUAAAAACAGUUUGCAAGGAAAAGAAAGCAAGAAAAACAAAAAAAAGAGAAGAAAAGCGAAAUGGAAAAGAAUAAAAAAACAACCUUCUAGGCCUUCAAUCUGAUUUUUUUAUUGAUAUCAAUUACUCUUGUACGUUCUGCUAUUGUGUAUGUCCAAAAAUCGGGAAAAAAAAGAUCCCUUUACACUUGAUCUAAUUUGGUUUUUAUAGCUAAUUUUUCAACCUCUUUUACUUGUUUGCAGGUACGUGCUAGGUGUGGACUCUGACGUGGAGGUAGAGUGGUGCACGAUGCGGAGAGUCGCAUGACCUGCGGUGCUUGGAGACUGCCUCAGUUGCAAAUGAUGGCUCCUAGAGUUUUUUACAAUCUGUUUGUGUUUUGGGCCGUUUGGGCCAUGUUUGUAAAUGGGUACUUAGGUUUAGGUCUGCUCUUGUUGGGUCUUAGUUUCUAGUGGUUUGGGCCGGGUAAAAAUUGAGUCCAACAACUGCCCCUCUUUGCUCAUUGCCGUGUAACGGGGAUGGAGCAAAGACUUCAAAUGGGUCAAUUUUUCCUGGCCUUCGUGAUGCUCCUCUUCUUUAAGUAGUCUUACUGCAUCUUCAAGAAGAUAAUGUUCGUAACUUUAACUUGCCCCACUGUAACUUCAGGGAGAUAAGGUCAAUGGCUAAGAUCCAUUCCAUAGCCAAUAUAUGGAGAUAGGACUCGCCAUUUCUGAUAUGCUCCAUAGCCGAUACAUGGAGAUAAGAUCCGUAAUUUUUAGUCUGUUUCCUGUAACUUCAGGAAGAUAAGACUAGUAUUUUCAACCUGCUCUCUUGCUGCCCCAGAAAGAUAAGGUCGGUGGUUAAAAUCUGCUCCAUAGCUGAUAUAUGGAGAUAAGAUCUGUAAUUUUUAGUCUGCUUCCUGCAACUUCAGGAAGAUAAGACUUCUAUGUUCAACCUGCUCUCUUGCUACCUCAGAGAGAUAAGACUAGUGGUUAAAAUCUGCUCCAUAGCCAAUACAUGAGGAUAAGACUCACCAUUUUUUAUCUACUUCAUAGCCAAUACAUGGAUAUAAGAUCUGUAACUUUUCAGCCUACUUCCUGCAAUUUUAGGAAGAUAAGACUAGUGGCUAAAAUCUGCUCCAUAGCCGUUACAUGGAGAUAAGAUCUGUAACUUUUCAGUCUGCUUCCUACAACUUCAGGAAGACAAGACUAGUAGCUGAGAUCUGCUCCAUAGCUGAUACAUGGAGAUAAAGUCUGUAAUUUUCAGUCUGCUUCCUACAAUUUCAAGAAGAUAAGACUUGCUAUCUUCAGUCUGCUCCACUGCAACUUCAGGGAGAUAAGACUUGUCAUUUUUGAUCUACUCCAUAGCCGAUACAUGGAGAUAAGAUCUGUAAAUUUUCAGUCUGCUUCCUGCUGCUUCUUGCAACUUCAGGAAGAUGAGACUUGUCAUUUUCGAUCUGCUCCAUAGCCGAUAUAUGGAGAUAAGAUCUGUAAAUUUUCAGUCUGCUUCCUGCAACUUUAGGAAGAUAAGACUUGUAAUCUUCGACGAUACACUACACUGUCCUCUGAGGAACAUAUUCUGUAAAAUUGAUUUCAUGUAUGUAUGCUUUUACCGAAUAGUUAGGAUGCUAUGAUCGAAAUGAAUCAAACGCUCCUAACUAGAUGUGAUGCUUAUGUCAAAUAGUUAAGAUGCUAUGAUCAACAUGAAUCACGUGCUCCUAACUAGAUGUACUAUGAAUGACAUUGGUAUGAAUGCUGAAUGUCAUGAGAAAUGUCUUCUUUUUCAUUUUUCUCUUUUUUUUCCUUAUGGUUUAAGCUGUUAUUGCUCGCCGUUUGCUCUUGACGUAUUUCUUCUCGUUUAACUGACACAUAUCUGAAGCAAUAGUCUUCAAUUAAACUUCUUACCUCUCAAGUAACUCUGACCCUUAAGCUUGGUGGGUCUGAAUAAUUGACCUAUUUCGGGUUCUUGCACUACUUAGAAGCUUCUAGAGUAAUAUGCAGAACCCCUUUUGUGAAAAUAUUAUCAGUCUAUUAACCAAUUAUUUCAACAAAAAAUGCUUGAAAAAGACUAUCAGAAUGAAUAAGAUGAAACUUUAUUGAGAGCGAAACCUGAGGUAAAAUAUUAAUCAAGACAACAAAUUUUACAAAGGUACAAAAGAUAUAUGAGAUAGAAAAUUGGUGCCCUAGAUAUCGCAGCGUGAGCUCAUCUAUUCAGACUGUUCGAAAACCCUUGGAGGCCAGAUGUGUGUUUAGAAGGCCCAAGAUAUUUUGUUGAUGCUUCCAAGAUGUAAUGCUCCUCUUUCUUGUUAAUUCUAGUAGAAACAAGGUCGCAACAUGCCCCAUCUCUGAUCACAUUUUGAAUUGCCUUUUUCAGGUUUUCAACUCAAAACCCAUUGGUUUCAAAGCGCUCUUUGCGGGUUUUCACCUUGGCCUCUCCCUUUUUUUUCAGAGCACCCCUUUGCGGGUUUUCACUUUGGCAUCGUCUUUUUCAAGUGAAGUAUUUCUUGACCGAAUCUGAAUUUAUCGGGUUGGAGAAGCUUUUGCCGUCCAUUUUUGCUACUAUCAGUGCCCCUCCAGAAAAAACCUUUUUCACUACAUAAGGUCCUUCCCCAUUUGGCAUCCAUUUCCCCCUGAAAUCCUUUUGCAUAGGGAGAAUCUUUUUCAAUACCAAGUCCCCUUUCUGGAAUACUCUUGGGCAAACUUUCUUGUUGUAAGCUUGCAUCAUUCGCUUCUGGUACAUUUGACCACGACGGAUAACCUUCAGCCUCUUUUCCUCAAUCAAGUUUAGCUGGUCAUACCGAGAUUGAACCCAUUCUGCUUCAUCUAACUUCACUUCAGAUAAAAUCUGGAGAGAAAAAAUCUCGACUUCAAUGGGCAAGGCUGCCUCUAUCCCAUAAACCAACGAGAAAGGUGUUGCCCCAGUAGAAGUUCUGAUCGACGUACGAUAGGCAUAGAGAGCAAAUAGUAGCUCUUUAUGCCAAUCAUUGUAGGUCUCAACCACUUUCCCCACAAUCUUCUUUAUAUUUUUAUUAGCUGCCUCAACUACUCCAUUCAUUUUUAGGCGAUAUGGUGACGAGUUGUGGCGUUUAAUUUUGAAUUGACUGCAGACCUCCACUAUUACGCUGUUAUUUAAAUUUAACGCAUUAUCAGAUAUGAUACUUUCCGGCAUGCCAUAUCGACAUAUGAUUUCCUUCUUUAAGAACUUGCUGACUGCCAACUUCAUGACGUUUGCGUAUGAAGCAGCCUCUACCCACUUGGUGAAAUAAUCAAUGACCACAAAGAUAAAGCGAUGUCUAUUGGAAGCCUUUGGCGAAAUCGGCCCAAUGACAUCCAUGCCCCACAUUGAGAAAGGCCAUGGGGAAGUCAUGACAUGAAGAGGCGAAUGAGGCACAUGGAUCUUAUCACCACAAAUUUGCCACUUAUGGCAUUCUUGGCAUAAUUGAUGCAAUCUCCUUCUAUUGUAGACCAAUAAUACCCGAAUCUCAUGAUUUUCCUGGCCAUUGUGAACCCAUUGGCAUGCGUCCCGUGACACAUUCGUAAACUUCUUCCAGGAUUUUCUUUGCUUCAACAGCGUUAACACAUCUUAGUAGCACUUGGUCUUUCCUUCUUUUAUACAUGAUUUCACCGUCGAAGACAUAGUUAUCAGCCAGCCUCCUUAAUGUUCUUUUAUCAUUUUCGGUUACCUAAUCAGGAUAUACACGAUUCUUCACAUAUCGUAGAAUAUCCUGAUACCAAGGAUGAUCGUCCCUCUUUUCCUCUUCGCUGAUAUUGCAGCAAUGAGCUGGAGCAUUACAAAUACUCAUCUGGAUCGGCUUCAUACCCUCUUGUUUAUUUACUCUAAUCAUGGAAGCUAACGUAACCAAGGCAUCAACCAUCUGAUUUUCGUCACGCGGGAGAUAGUGGAAAGUAAUAUCAUCAAACUCUUUUAUUAAAUCUAGAACCAGCUCUUGGUAAUUAAUCAACUUUAAGUCUCUUGUUUCCCAUUCACCCCUGAGCUGAUAGAUUACUAGUGCAGAAUCCCCAUACACCUCUAACACCUUGAUUUUGCGCUCUACGGCCGCACGGAUGCCCAUAAUACAUGCUUCAUAUUCUGCCAUGUUAUUUGUAUAAUCAAAAUCCAAUUUGCAAGUGAACGAAUAGUGAUCUCUAUUUGGGGUGCCCUAAUUCCAUUGCCAACGGCAUUUGACACUCCGUCAAAAUUAAGUUUCCAAGGACAAUCUUUUGGAGUGUCUUCUUGAGUGGCUGCCACAUACAUUAAAUAUUCAUUGGGAAAAUCAGAGUUCAAGGGCUCGUAAUCUUCUAAAGCUCUACUGGCUAGAAAAUUUGCUAUCGCACUCCCUUUUACGGCCUUUUGGCUCACGUAAAUUAUGUUGAAUUCGAAAAGCAAAAUUUGCCAUCGGGCCAUCCUUCCAUUCAGAGCAGCUGACUCCAUCAUGAACUUAAGAGGAUCUAAUUUUGAGAUUAACCAAAUCGUAUGGUACAACAUGUACUGCCUUAAUCUCCGAGUUGUCCAGACCAAAGCACAACAUAGCUUCUCAAUCGACAGAUAUCUCAUCUCACACUCAGUGAAUUUCUUACAGAGUUAGUAUAUCGCCUUUUCUUUCUUUCCUGUCUCAUCAUGUUGGCCCACACACAUCCCAUUGAGUGGUCAAAUACUGUCAAAUACAAUAUUAAUUGUCUACCCGGGUUGGGUAGUGUCAACACCGGGGGAUUGGACAAAUAUUGUUUAACUCUAUCAAAUGUCUUGUGGCACUCUUUAUCCCACACACCUGGGUUAUGUUUCUUGAGAAGACGAAAUAUGGGGUCGCAUUUCUCAGUUAGUUGCGACAUAAACUGGACGAUGUAAUUUAGUCUUCCCAGAAAACCUCGAACUUCCUUCUGAGUGUAUGACGGAGGCAAUUGCUGUAUAGCCUUGACUUUUUCGGGGUCAACCUCAAUUCCUUUUUCACUGACAACGAAACCGAGCAGCUUUCCUGAUCUAGCUCCAAAAGUACAUUUUGUUGGAUUGAGUUUUAUCUGGAACUUUCUCAGUCUCAAGAACAAUUUCUUCAAAACCUGUAUGUGCUCUUUUUCUGUUCGGGAUUUUGCGAUCAUACCGUCCACGUAAACCUCAAUCUCGUUGUGCAUCAUGUCAUGAAAUAGGGUUACCAUGGCUUUUUAAUAUGUUGCUCCCGUAUUUUUUAACCUGAAUGGCAUCAUCUUAUAGUAAAAUGUUCCCCACAAUGUUAUGAAUGUGGUCUUUUCCAUGUCUGUAGGAUGCAUCUUUAUCUGGUUGUAUCCAGAAAAACCAUCCAUCAAGGAGAAUAAAGAGUAACCUGCCGUGUUAUCCACUAGCGUGUCAAUGUGGGGCAACGGUAAAUUGUCCUUUGGGCUGGCCUUGUUUAGGUCUCUGUAAUCCACACACAUCCCAACUUUUCCAUCCUUCUUAGGGACAAGGACAACAUUGGCAACCCAUUCUGAGUAAUUCACCACUUGCAAAAAAUCAGCGUCGAAUUGCUUCUUGACCUCUUCCUUUAUUUUUACUACAACAUCGGGUCUUAUCCUUCGAAGCUUUUAUUGAACAGGCCUGUACUCCUCUUUUAUGGGGACACGAUGUACCGCAAUGUUGGCGUUUAACCUAGGUAUGUCCUGAUACGACCACGCGAAGACAUCUUUAAACUCUUGUAGCAGUUUAAUGAGGUCUCGUCUUACUUCCUCAGUUAUUCAAGUUCCAGUUUUCACUUAUUUCCCUUCUUCUAAAGUCACAUUCUCGGUCGUCUCUUUAUGGGGUAGAAUUUGCUUCUCUUCCCGUUCUACCAUCUUUAACAAAUCAAGAGAUAACCCACAUUCUUCGUCAUCUUCAAAAUCUUGAGAUCCCUCUAAGCACAUAUCUGGCUCGAAAAGAGAUUUUGAGUCUGUAACAGUGUUGCUCAUAACAUCAAUAUCUGGAGACCUAUUACAACACAAAAAAAUAUCUAGAGAAUGAAUCUAAGGGUGGCUUAUUUGUAUGGCAUGAUUAUGAAUAUGAUGAGAAUAUGAACGAGGAUUUGGGUAAGAUGAGAUAUGAAAAAUGCAUUUCUUAUUAAAAAUAAAAGGUGUUUGAACAAGAGCCUACUUCAUAAAAUAUUCUUAUUGUUUCUAGGCUUAAAACAAUAAGUGUGUUCUGAAUAUUACUCUGUAUUAGCUUUAAAACCUACAGGAAUUUCCUUCACAGUCCAAUUAUUCAGGACACUUCCAAGCUCAUAAGGGCGGAUGCCUGAUAAGUUUCUUUUCAUCGCCCUUUCCUCCGAUAUGGUGUUGAUGCUCAAAUUGCUCAUCGAACCUUCAGUUGUCUUUUCUCCUGUCAUCUCUGAUUUAAUAUGCAUAAUUCCUCCUGUCACGAACGUAUUGGAAUAUGGGGGAAGGUCAUUGAUUCCCACUUGACCUCUACCCCAUUCAAUCAUGCCAUUCGUCUCUCUUAUUUCCUCACUAGCUCUUCCUUAUUCUGUCUGGCGUCUGGCCUAUACCCCAAACCAAAACGAUCCCACUUGCCAACUAAUCUCAGCACUUUGACCCAUCCAUGAAGAUAUUUUCCAAGUCCCCUUCCAGCCAAUGCUCAUUUUCCUAUCGUUGGUCGUAGGCCCAUCGUCGUGGCUCUUGAUAUUUUUGGCAUUGGGACCUUGCCUCCAUCGGUGAUAAAAGUUGCAUUUAUGAACUCUAACGACUGAAAAGAGCACUCUAUUGCUUCAUCAUCAUUCUCGAUGUACGGCGCAUCACUAGUAACAGAUGCGAUAAUGUCUUCCUCUGCAUUUAUAGUUAUCAGUCGACUUUCCGUCACCAGCUUCAGCUUCUGGUGAAAAGAUUAUGGAUCUACUCCCGUUGAGUAAAUCCAAGGCCUCCCCAGUAAACAAUUAUAAGAAGGCCUAAUGUCCAUCACGAGAAAGCCUACCUCAUAUGUGUUGGGUCCAAUCUGAAGGGGAAUCUCAAUCCCACCCAUUACUUUCCUCUCUGUGCCAUCGAAUGCUCUCACUAUGUUCUGGCAUAUCUUCAUGUGAGAGCUAUCUAUGGGUAACUUGUUCAAUGUAGAUAGGGGUAAGACAUUCAGUACCGACCCAUUGUCAAUUAAUGCCCCCGGUAGUGUAUAUCCUUUGCACCAGGUAGUGAUGUGCAAAGCCUUGGUGGACCCCGUACCACCUGGCGGUAUUUCAUCAUCGCUGAAAGAAAUGAAGUUGUCAGGGCUAAUAUUGCUGACGAGACGGUCCAGCUUGUUCACUGAAAUGUUUUCAGCAACAUAAGUUUCAUUCAACACUUUCAUCAAUGCAUUACGGUGUGCCUCCAAAUUUUUUAGCAAUGCUAGUACCGAGGUGCGAGCUGGCUGCUUGUGUAACUGCUCCACAAUACUAUAUUCACUAUGCUUUAAGAACUUCAGAAAUUUUUUAGCUUUAUCCGUUGUUACUGGUUCAUUAACCAGUGGUUUUGUCCUUCCUUCCCCUUGUUCAAACAUCAGAGACUUCUUUUUUACAAGCUUGGCUUUUGUAUUUGGUGUGCUGGCCAACCUUCCAUCUCCUGGCAAUGUCACAUUACAAUUAUAACUCCAAGGCACCAUUUUGUUAUCCUUAUAAGGAAAAGCUACCGGUUUCUGAAUCACCACUUUUGGCGUCGUUCUUGCUUCAACUUUAUUUAUUCCCGGUCGUGAAAUGAUCACCACUGGGUGAUUGACUUCACAGACCUUCUUUAUUAGCCCCUCCUCUGAGACGCACACAUGUUUCUCUUCAGCGAACUCGAAGAACUCCAUCUCCUUGUUGUCCAUUAGACCCUGUACCAGGGCCUUGAAUUCAUUACAUGUUUCUAUCUCAUGGUCCUCAUCUCCGUGGAACUCAAAAUAGUUCCCUACUUCUCGGGACUUACUCCCAAAGUCUUGUAUGACUAGACCUCUUCCUACCAUCUUCUUCAGAACCUCCCUCAUCGAAGUUCUCACCUCCGCUACAUCCAACUUAACUCUCCUUCUCAUAUUCUCGACUACCACGUUUACCCCAUUAAAAAUAUGAUUGGGUAACGGGUUUUUCGCGUUAGGCAUCUCAUCGAACUUGACAACACCCAAGUUGAUGAGCCUUUCGACCACUCUUUUGAAAGAAGUGCAAUUCUCGAUCAAGUGUCCUGCAACGCCCGCAUGAUAUUCACAUUGGGCACUUGUAUCAUACCAUUUGGGGUAUGGAGGCUGCAACGGUUUUAAGUAGAACGGGGAUACAACAUGUGCAUAGUAGUAAACUAGGGCUUCUCCGUAUUCUGCUUUGUAUUGGGUUCAUGUCUUGACGAAGCUUACUGGCCGGUGACUGUCGUUCUUGGUUGAUUAAUUGUGAUUGGUUUUAUAUGACCCAUGCUCACAUUGCCGACCUUAUUUUCUCUUUUUUUUCGGAGCUGACCUCCUGAUGCUCUCCCCAGCCUCUAUUUUUCCACUCCUUAUCGUAUUCUCAAUCAUUUCACUGGACAUCACUUUGUCAGUGAAACUCUUUGUCGUGCCUCCCAACAUAUGAUUGAUAAAAGGCGCUUUCAAGGUGUUGAUGAAAAGCAUAGUCGUCUCUUUUUCCAAGAGCGGUGGUUGAACUUGGGUAGCGACUUCCCUCCACCUCUGAGCAUACUACCUGAAACUCUCGUUUGGCUUUUUCUCAAUGUUCUGUAGCGUGAUCCGAUCGGGCACUAUGUCCGUCACAUGGCCAUACUGCUUCAUGAAGGCCUGUACUUGGUCUCUCCACGAUUUAAUUUGGGUACGACUCAGCUGAUUGUACCAUUUGGCUGCAGCCCCACUCAGACUAUCCUGGAAACAGUGAACGAGCAACUGAUCAUUAUUGACAUGACCAGUCAUCCUCCGACAAAACAUCGUGAUAUGAAGGCAACUGGUUCCGUUGUAUUGUUCAAACUCCGGCAUUUUGAACUUCGGAGGGAGCACUAGGUCUGGAACCAAACUCAACUCUUUAGCAUCCAUACCACAUUGAUAAUCUGCGCUUUCUAGCGCCUUGAAUUUCUCCUCCAGCCAUUUGUAUCGGACAUUCAGUUGCUUUGGGAGUUCUCCUUUUGUCUUCCCUACCUUUGCCAUCUCAUCAAAGUCGAGGACCGAAAGAUUUACCCCGAUCAUCCUCGGGUUUAGAAUAUGAGCCCGUCAAGAAAUUCAUUGGUACCGAAAUACCGGCCUGAUACUGGGGCUUGACAUUGACAGACACCCUUUGAGGUGGUAUUGGGGUAGUCACUGGAGUGAAACCUGGAGGGUAAGUAAGGAUCUCGCUAUCGCCAUCUAGGUUGACUAUAGGGCUCUUCCCUUUACCUGACCCUCUGAGCAACAACUGAGUUAGCUGAUUCAUCAUGUCCUUCUGCGAUUCUUGCAUCCGAUCUUUCAUAUCCUGCUGAAUCUUAGCCAGUUGCUAUUGCAUCUGCGCUUGCAGCCGCUCCUGCAUUUCUCUCUGCAUUUGUUCCAAUUUUUCCAGCCUUUAAUCCAUAGCUUUAGUUUUUUUGCGCGUGUAGUAUUGAUGUUCCAGGGUAACUAUAAUACGAUUACUUUUAAUCAGGGUUCCUUUUGUGAAGUUUAAUACACAUGAUGUAAUGAAAUGCAAAUGCAUGAGAUGUAUGCAAGACUAAAGAGGUGUCGAUUCUGAUUCAAUUUCAAUUAGAAAACUUUAUUAGAAAAUAAAAAACUUUAUAUAAAAUAGAUCACAUAUACGGCUUGGCCUUAAUGCUUAAAGUUUUAAUUCUCUUAAGGAGACUAGCCAGCUCAAGACCCCGGUCUGACACUAACUCAUACUUCACACUUAAUACAUCAGCUUGAACUGCUAAGGUCUGUAAAUGAUAGACCACUUCUCGGAUCUGAGCCAGGGCUUCACCCAUGAUAUAAUCUCUAUCCUUGACUUGGUCUUGCGAUCGACAGAACUGUUCCUUCCACUGUUCAUUAUUUGUCUCAAGGAAUUCAAUUCAAAAUUCACAGUUCUGUAAUGCAAACUCGAGUUAUUCUACCCUUCCUUCUAAAUCCUUAAUCCUACUCAGGCUUGCCCCUAGCUCAAUGUCAAAUUUACGACCACGAUUUUGAUGCAGCGCCCUUUCUAACUCUGCUACCCAAGCCGUUAACAUCUGCUUCUCAUCUUGGCCCUCAGCCAAACUCUUCUUUAAUACGCUUUCACGUGCCCGAGCAUCAUGGAACCUCUUCUCCUAUUUAUCAGCUCUAGCUUUUUCAACUUGAAUUUCUUGCUGCCACUGCUCUGAUGUCUUUCUCAAUCCACCUGUUCUCAUUGACAUAUGCAGCUUUUUGUAGUCAGUCUUCAAACCGUCUAAGUCAUUUUUGGCCUUCCUUUUCCCUUUCUUAACCUAUCGGCCUCGAGUCUCUGAACAUCGACAUCUAACCUCAAAUACAUCUUUUCCUCCUCUAAUUGUUCUAUCUUUUUCCCUAACUCUAAAUUCCUCUUUUUAAAAUCCUGUUUUAUGAUUUCUAACUCAGAGGAGACUACUUGUAGGUAUUCUUGCAUCGGUCGAGUGCUUUCUUGCCCUGGUCUGGGGAUAUUAUCAUUAACUCUUCUACCCCGGCAACUGUCUUAUUCGAAGGUCAUCAUUGGACCUACAACAACUCUUUUCAUUCGACGAGUCUGGCUCCAAGCGCUAAAAAUCUUUUUAAUCUUUUUCUUGCAGUUAACUCCUACAUACGUGAAUUCAAAUUGAACUAGCCCAUGCGUUGCCAGUAUGAACUGUCUCAAUCUGUAUUGCCUCUGUGUGAGUAAGGGAGCAUAUCCAACAGCUCUCCAAAUUCCAGAUAGAGGUACCCAAUCAAAACUCCCACACCAAUAGAAGAUCUCAUCGGGAACCAACCAAUGAGCUCUCCACUCAACAUCCUCCUCUUGGAGAUUUUGGAAGAGUGCUAUCCAAUUCUCCUUUGAUAUGUCAUCUCUCCUAGGCGUAACCGCUAUCUCCCUUAACGGGGAAUAACUUUCAGAGAAAACCCGAAUAGGAAACUUUAUCCACUUUCCAGAAAUUGCUAUAAAACCAAGCUAACAAUAACUGAGCGCACCCUAUAAAUCUGCCUUCUCCAACUCUCCUGCAUGUAUUCAAAGAUCUAAAUGUCUCAGCCAAGAUUGCCGGAACAGGUGUGACUCCUUUGCCUAAUCGGUCAAAAAGACCCGAGACUGCCUCAUCUACAUGCCCUAAUGCCCUCGGGAAAAUCAUUAAACCAUAGAUGCUCAAAGAAAAAACAUCAACUCUCCUCUUUGCAUCAGGAUGCACUAGAAUCAACUCCAUCAAACUCCUCCAUGGGAUGCACUUACAUUCCCCCUUUUUCUUGACCCUUGUUGCAAUCCACUGCUCACUCAUCCCUGUAUCAUUCAUCAAUUUCUUUACAAAAUGUGAGGCAUUAGCAUCCCUGGAAUAAACUCUAUCGACCUGAACCUUCGGACAAUGAAGUAGAGCUGUAUAUUCUUCUACAGUAGGUACCUUAUCUACCCUCCCAAAGGUAAAACAACUGUAGGCAGGAUUCUAAUACUGAACGAGAGCCCAGCAUAAGUGUUCGUCUACCUUGAUGUCAAGUAAGUAGGGUAAAUCCCCAUAACUACCAUAGAAUAACCUCUUGGUUUCUUCAUCCCGCUGGUCUCAUAUCUCCUUUAAUUCCCAGAGAUCAUUUUGCGUCACACUGAUGCGGGUGUAAUCACAUAAUUCUGAUGUAUACCCCUCGGCAAGACUGUCCCCCUUCUUUAAUUAUGUUUUCUUAGACCAUAUACGAACAACCGCAUUAUCUUCUACUUUAUCAAGAAAUUCGUUCUCCAUAACAAGCUCCCUAAAUUAGUAAUCAAACGUGAAUCGACGCCUCUUAUGAAUGAAAUGACAUGCAAUUAUGGCCAAAAUAAAACAUAACAAGUCAGUAUCGUAUACCAAAUAUAAAAGUCAAAGUAAAUGGAAAGAAAUAAUCAAACACUAGUUUGGGUGAUUGCUAAAGUUUGGAAUGACUCUACCUAGGGUGGACUCUUAAGGCUCGUUAUAUGUGGUUUGGUUCUAAAGAAAAGGGUACCUGAACCAGCAGAUUCCUCGGUCCUCACCCAUUAUAGGUUCAUAUGGGCCGAGUUUAGUUCAGGGGAAUACAUUUCCCUAUGGCUGCACGGAGGUAAAAACCUCACGAAGACAUAGGUACAGAUGUAUCCCGAAAGCGAUCCACUAUCCUGCAUGGAGGUGAAAACCUCACGAAGGAAAUAGUUUUUCACUCCCACUUAAAGGGUACGACCACAACAGUCAUGCAAGAUGAUGCAAGGGGAUAUAAAAACUCAAAGUACAAAACAUGAAUAAAAUGGUGAACCAUAAAACCCACGAAAUGCGAUGAAAGAAUCGUAUGUUAAAAACCAAAUUUUUAAAUUUUGAUAAAAGGACAGAAAAAUGAUCAAUUUUACGGCUUGACUCUCUUAUGUCCCCAGCGGAGUCGCCAAGCUGUCGAAACCAUUUUUAUUUUGAAAAACAGAGGUCGACUUUAAAACGAAAAUGGAGUCGCCACCAAUCCUUUUUGUUUAGGUGUGAUCGGGUCACCUUGUGAUCGAUCAUUUUGAUAAAGCAUUUUGGUUUAUUAAAACAACAUUUUUGGUCUACGAAAAACUAGAAAGCGGAUUCAGGAGUCAGUUACGCGUAAGGAAGGAUUAGCACCCUCGCAACGCCCAAAAUUGGUACCGUAUUAAUCAAUUAACAUCCUAAUGUUGAAAAUUUGAAAAAGAUUUUAAAAUACAAUUCCUUUAAAACAUUUGGAUAACUUGAAUUGGAUAUUGAGAUUCUCUCGCUUAGAAGGAAUAAAAUAUUACGUCCAGCACGAUUGGAUACAAUAUUUUGAACCCUCGACACAAGAUCAUCUCAGGAUUUCCAAAACACAUGCACUUAAAACUUUUAAAAAGGAUAUUUGGCUAUUCGGCCCAAACGAUAAAUCGAAACCCAGCACGAUUGAGAACGAUUUAUCGAAUUUCCAAAUACGAAAUAUUGCCUCAUUUUAAUUCAAGAAAACAUGGAUGAAAUGUCAAAAGGAUAUUCCGUAUCUUAGUCAAAUGAAAAAAAACGAAACCCAACACGAUUGGGCACGAUCUCUCGAACUUCCAAACACGAAAUAUUGUCUUGUUUUAGUUUAAGAAAACAUGGAUGAAAUUUCAAAAAAGGAUAUUCCAUAUUGUAGUCGAAUGAAAAAAACGAAACCCAGCACGAUUGAGCACGAUCUCUCAAAACUCCCCAAAUACGAAAUAUUGCCUCGUUUUAGUUUAAGAAAAAGUGGAUGAAAUUUCAAAAAAAAGGAUUUCCAUAUUUUACUCGAAGGAAAAAAAAAGAAACCCAGCACGAUUGAGCACGAUCUCUCAAACUCCCCAAAUACGAAAUAUUUCCUUAUAUUGAGAGGGUUCUCUUGAAACACGAGUGGUUAUAAAAGCGGUGGAGCAUAUUUAUACGAUUUAUUUGAAAAUAGAAAAAAAAUUAAAUAAACAAUUUGAAACAAACAAUAAAUAUCAUAGCUCACCGUUCAUCGACUAUAGUACAAAGGUACAAAUAUAAAAAUUAAAAUGCAUAAAAACAACAAUAAGCAAACAGGUAAUAUAUAAAUAUUAAUGCAUAAAUAUAAAAUUUAAUAUAAAUGAAUUUCAAAAGAAAUAUUAUGAGCUGAAAUUUAACAUAAAUGUUGUACAAAACAAUUUACAACUAAAAUUAGUAAAAAUGUGACAUUAAAAUGUACAUAAAAAUUGCAACGUAUGCUCAGGUCAAAUUUUAAAACAAAUAAUAUACAUACCAGACAGUAUAAAUAAACUAUUAGUACCAGUAUAAAUCUAUAUAGUAUAAAAUCAAUAAUCAUAAAAAAUAUUUGUUAACAACUUAUAAUGCACAUAAAGUAGAAACUUAAUGAGUAUAAAAUAUAAAAAUAAUGAAUCAUAGUGUUUUUUUUAAAUAUAUAUAUAUGUAGUAAAAUAAGAUUUUUAGAAGAAAUAAAUUGUAUAUAAAAAAAUUUAAAAUAAACAAAUUACAAAAUAAAAUAAUUUUUUAAAAAUGUAAAAUAUUAAAAUAGAUAAAUAAAAAAAAGAGUAAAAGAAUUUUAAAAAAACUAAGAAAGAACUCCAUUGAAACAAAAACAAAAUUCAGAGAAUAGUUUAAAACAAAUCGAAUUAUUAAAAUAAAAUCCAGGACUUGAACUAGAUAAGCACUAACAAGCAAGAACUAAAAAUGCAAAUUCCCCAAGUCCCAACACACUGCAUCUAAACGCGGACUAAACUGGAAUGACACGCAAAUUCUAGGGAUGAAUUUAAAGAAUCUAAGAAAGCAUAAGCAAGGCCCAAUUGAUCACUAGCGCGAAGGGGGGAUUCAAUGCGCAAAUUUCCCAUUUUGGGUCAAACAUGUGAGCCCAGCACCAAAUGGUGCUGUUUUAACCGUAUGUAAAAGCUAAAAAAAAGAAACCCCCCUCCAAAACAACAGCCUUGCAGAUUAUUUUCAAGAAAAUUCAAAACCCUUUUUUAGACUCACCCUCUGCUAGGGUUUCGUCUCUGUUUUGAGAUGCCGCUCACGAGGGUCAUCGGUGCUUCUGCGCCUCCACCUCUGACGCCGAACCACGGGGUAAGGCCAGGUAAGCUUUUCUUCCCCGAUUUUGAUGUAAAAACAGUUUGCAAGGAAAAGAAAGCAAGAAAAAUAAAAAAAAAAGGAAGAAAUGCGAAAUGGAAAAGAAUAAAAAAACAACCUUCUAGGCCUUCAAUCUGAUUUUUUUAUUGAUAUCAAUUACUCUUGUACGUUUUGCUAUUGUGUAUGUCCAAAAAUCGGGAAAAAAAAGAUCCCUUUACACUUGAUCCAAUUUGGCUUUUAUAGCCGACUUUUCAACCUCUUUUGCUUGUUUGCAGGUACGUGCUAGGUGUGGACUCUAACGUGGAGGUAGAGUGGUGCACGACGCGGAGAGUCGCAUGACGUGCGGUGCCUGGGGACUGCCUCGGUUGCAAAUGAUGGCUCCUAGAGUUUUUUGCAAUCUGUUUGUGUUUUGGGCCGUUUGGGCCAUGUUUGUAAAUGGGUACUUAGGUUUAGGUCUGCUCUUGUUGGGUCUUAGUUUCUAGUGGUUUGGGCUGGGUAAAAAUUGAGUCCAACAAUGUCAUUUCAUUUUCAUUUCAAACACUUUACCAUAUUGGCACAUCUAUUCAUUCAACUUACCAUUUCUUCCAUGUUUAACUUUUAGCAUAUCAAAUGUCAUGUUCAAGUUUAAAAUCAUCAAUUAAACCACAUUAAGCAUUAGCUAUUUCAUACAUCAUCUAGUACAUACCAAUUUUUCAACAACUCAAUAUUUGCCACAAAUAUCAAACGUACCAAAUGAUCAACAUAGUGACCAUUUACUUAACAUCUAAUCCCUAUAAACAUGUCAUGAUCCCAAAACUCAAAAUGAUCAAAAAGCUAUCAAAUUAAGGAUAGUGUGAGCUUUGAGGCAAUCCGACUUGAUGUUUUCCACAAAGUAUUGAUCUACAAGGGAAAGGAAAAACAACGAGGUAAGCAUAUAAAAUGCCUAGUAAGUUCAUAUGAAAUUUACAUUACUUACCUUAACAAUUCAACAAGCUAGAUUAUUAAACACAUUGGCAUUUAAUUGGCUUUCCUUAACAUACUUUGAUGCAACUAAUACACAUAAACAUAUACAACCAAAUAGGUUAGUUAAUUUACAUACCAAGAUCAUUAAGUAAGUAAUCAUAUACUGCAACUCAAUUUGAAAGCAUAUGCAAUCCAAUCUAUGCUCAAACCAUUUUAAUAUUUCCAUUUCCAUUAGGUUAAAGUUUCAUCUGAAGGAACUAUAGUAAAAUGAACUCAAAUACAUGGGAAUAUUUUGCUCACACAACCUGACAUUUUAUCGAAAAUGCUUACACAAGCUGGCAUCGUAUCGAGGUUACCAGUCCAAGCUAAACAAACGAUACAUAUAACUUGAGAAUCUGUAACAAAUGCUAGAUCUCGUAUCAUCAUGUAAAUCCCUGAUCAAUUACGUGUAUAAUCCUAAUGACAUGUCAUACGUAUCUUAAUCUUUUACUAAGUUCACAAGGGUACUAUUUUCAUCUACAUAUCAUUAACAAAACUUGUACUAGUUUACAUAUUUCAUACAAGUGCUAUAAACAUUCAACAUUCACAUUGAUACUCCGUACCUAUUUGUAAUAACCAAUAUUUUCAUAGUUUUCAAUUCAGUUCAUGUGAACUCAAAUAUGCUAAUUUCACCAAUUUCACUUAAAUAUAAACACGCAAUUGAAACAAUACAAUUCAAAAAAUAAUUUAAUAAUUUUCAUAUGAACUUACCUGGAAAAACAAUAAAUAAACGAGUCUUUGAGGACUAAUCGACAAUUUUUACUUUUCCUCAAUUUCUCUGGUUUGGUUCAAUUUUCGAUCUAUAUAAUUAUUUAAUUCAAUUAAUCAAUAUAAAAUUUUUUAUAUCAUCUCAUAAUAUGUAUGAACUAGUUUAAAUUCUAUCUUUUCGAAUGCCCAUAAAAUUUUAAAUUUUAUUCAAUUUAGUCCCUAAAAUCGAAAUAACAAUAACUUUCAAUUUUGAGCUUUGAUUUUAGAGCUGUUCUCAAUCACAUCCUUCUAGACCGUCUAUUAUCUAUUAGUACAAAAAUUUCAUAUCAAAUAUUCAAUUUAUACAUUUUAGUCAUUUUUGACAAAAUUAACAAUCAAACUUUACAAUCUGGUCUGUUUUACAUAUUUAAGUUUAAAAUUUAUCAAUUUAACAUCAAAUUAUUUAAGAAAUCAUCAAUUGGAACUUUAAAAAACUUCAACAAUUUUACAAAUUGGUACAUGGGCUAGCUAAAUCAAGCUCUCAUGACCACAAAAACAUAAAAAUUACACGAAAAGAACUUAAUUGAGCAUACCUAAUAGUUGCUGAAACUUUGAAGCUUUUGAAACCCUAUUUCUCCUUUUUAGUUUGGUGAAGAAGACGGUGCAGAAAAAAAAAUGAUUUGUUUUUCUUUUAAUUUUUGCUUAUAUACCUUUAAUUAACUUGAUUAAUCAUAAUUAAUUAAUAAAAACUUAAUUAAUUAAACCUUAAGUGUAAUCAACUAAAGUUAGUGGGUUUUAAAUACAUCCACCACUAUUUGAAGUAAUUAAAAUGGUUUAAUUAUCUUUUUGAUCUUUUAGCUAUUUAAAAAUCUAUAGUGAUAAGAUUUUUAUAAUUUAGUCCUUGUACCCUAAUUAACUAUACAUUUCUAUAUUAACAUUGUAAGUAUUAAAUAUUAAUAUUUAUGGACUUAGACUAUGGAAAUGGAGUUGUGAAAUCAUAGUUUCUGGCACUACUAAAAAUUGGGUUGUUACAUAGUUUCUUCCGGCUUCCACGUAGCCUCUUAAGUACUGUGAUGAUGUCAUAAUACUUUCACUAGUGCCACAUGUUUGUUUCUUAAAUAUUUUAUUUCUCGAGCUAGAAUCUUUACCGAUUCUUCACUAAACAUCAAAUCAGGAUAUUUCAUCAGGAGAUAACACAUAGGAUGGAUAGGAUCUAUAUCUUCAUAACAUCGAUACGUGGAAGACGUUAUGAAUCUUGUCUAAUUACAGAGGUAAAACUAGUUGAUAUGCUAUAGGUCCAAUUUUUCCAAGAAUAUUAUGCGACCCAAUAAACCUCGGAUUGACUUUUUCUUUUCUGUCAAAAUGCAAAACUUUCAAAAUACUUUAUCACCAAUCUAAAAUUCAAUGUCUUUUCUUUUCAAGUAAUAUAAAACUUUUUUCUAUCGAAAGCAACUUUCAAACAGUCUCAACUAAUCUAGAUAUUUUCUUUUAUUUCUUAUAUCAAAUCAAUUCCUGUUAACUUUCUUUCACUCAACUCUAACCAGCAUAGAGGAGUUCUGCAUUUAUGACCAUAUAAAACCUCGUAAGAUGUCAUUUUAAUGCUCGAAUGAUAACUAUUGUUGUAAGUAAGCUUAGCUAACGGUAGGAAGCUUUUCCAGCUACCUUCAGAUUUAAUCACACAACAUCGUAACAUAUCUUUGAGUUGAGUCAUUUGUUCUGAUUGUCCGUCAGUCUGAGGAUGAGACGCUAUACUGAAAUUCAGUUUCAUACUAAGGGCUUCAUGUAGCUUACCCCAAAAUCUGGAGGUAAAUCUUGAGUCUCGGUCUGAAAUGAUAGGCAAUGGCACACCGUAUAAUCUGACAAUAUCUGAUAUAUAAAUUUUAGCUAACUUCUCAUAGUAACCAUUACUAUCUUCCUAAAUAAAAAUGUUAAUUACUAACAAAUAGUAAUUAAAUCAUUUGUCAUGGACAAAUGACUCGUGGCAAUGUUACUUUUCAAUUUAUCAUGUAAUGCCGAUGAAAGGAUAUCAUUUACCAUAUUUGGGCUAUGAAUUCCACUAUUGUAAGUGGUGUUAUGUCAUGCAGAAGUUGUAUACUUAACGUACCAACUUUUGGCUCUAUUACCAAUUUGAACUUGGGUUUUUAAUAUCUAUGCAAAGAAGGGUAGAAGGUUUUUGGAAGAACCCUUUAGGAAAACACUAGACAAGAACAUCCCUAGAUUGUCAAGUGUUGAACUUGUUUCCUUAGUUGAAGAAUCUUCACUUGUAGCUACUUCUUCGUUGAAAUAUGUUCCUCUGAACGUUGUUGCCUCCACCCCUUUGAAUAGCCUUUAAGGUACUAGCCUGUAAAUGAGCUUGAAGGUUAUAGAAAUUGCACCUUCCCUCAAGUGGCAAAGACAUAUGUCCCUCUACUCAUAUAUUUUUAGUCUACCUUUUAUUUUCUUACUUGUGUGUUGGUUUUUUUUAUAACGAAUGAGAGAAAAAACUUGGAGCAAAAAAUUUAAUUGUUGGAGGGGGAAUUGGAAGUUUUAAAGAAUAAGUGUUUGAAUGAGGAUAGUCGCCCGAAAAGAGACCAAUUACAUUAUGUGUAACACCCUAAUUUUGGCUCAGAAGUCCAGUUGGAUCCAAAGCCUAAUAGUGGUUGUUAGCACGAACUAGUUCAAUCAAGCAUUCAAUUUAGUCUCGGAAUUAAAAAUUCAAAGAAGUCCAUGAUGCAUAACAAUACUAAAAAUCUAAAUUUUAUCAUUUCAUCUUAAUUUUCUGAAACAAUUCAUUUUAGGCUUAAUUCACAAUUUAGCCCUUGAAGAAUACCUAUUUUUCCAUUUUGAUACCUCAAUUUUUUUGCCCUAAUUUGUUACCAAAGGUAUCAAUUUCCUCUAUUUUUGGUCCAUUUGUAAUAGAAAUUAAAAAAAAAACGGUUAAGCAACUUUGGCCAAUGAAAAAAUGUCACAUGGCAAUUAAUUUUAUUUAAAAUAAAUUAUUAAAUUUAAAUUUAAAAAUAAAAAAUUAUAAUAUGAAAAAAUACUUUUGACUUUGACUAACCAUUGACCAAUAUUGACCAACAUUGACUGGCAACAUAGCUCAUUUAGAACAUGCAAUGUGUCCCCUUUUUUUUAUUUUUUUUUUACUAUUAUAUAUAUUAUAUUAUUAAGAAUGUAAAAAAAAAUCAUAUAUAAUAUAUACUUUUUAAAAACUUAGAAAUAUUUUUUAAAAAAAAAUUAAAAUAUAUAAUUUAAAAUUUUAAAAAGUCAAAAUAAUAUAUAAAAAUUAAAAAAAGGUAUUUAAAUUUUUUUUAGAAUUUUAUAAUUUUAUAAUUAUAUAUUUUAGAAUUUCAUAAAAAAUAAUUUAAUUUUUUUAAAAUUUUUAAAAUAAUUUUUUACAUUUUUUUACACUUUUAGUAGUAAUAUUAUUAAUUUCAACUAAUUUCUUUUCAGUUAUCCUAUUUUUUAUCAAUUUUAUUUUAUAAAAAAUUAUAAUUUAUAUGUCUCUUUUCUCUUUUUUUUUUAUUUUUUUAUAAUUUUAAUAUAUUUAAUUUCAUUUUUUAUAUUUUUAAUGUGUAUAUGCAUUUAGUAAAAGAAAAUAUUUAUUUUUACAUAAAAAUGUACAUGGCGCUUUUGUGAUUAGUUAUAAGAAUUUUUUUAAUCAUUUAUCAGGAAAUGAACUAAAAAAUAUAAGGGAGACAUAUACAAAAUUGGGGAUUUGAGUGUAUUUUAGAUAUCAAAUUAGAAAAAAAAUUAGGUACCAAAAUAAAAAAAAUGAGAAUACUUUAUAAGUGAAAUCGUGAAUUAAACCUUUAUUUUACUAAUAUUAUAUGAAUAGUUUGAAAAUUUUUCACUAAACUUAUCUCAUAUCAACAUGAAUUCAAUACUAAAAUUUUUAGGGUGUUGCAUUAUGUUAUUAAGAGCAAGGAUAAAGACACUGACAAAUCUAGAGGGGGCUGGCAUAGGCCCGACUCUCCUUAAAAUAUAAAAUUAUUAUUUAAGUCUUUAAAUUUUUUAAAAUUUUAAAUUAAUAAAGGUAAAAUUAUAUUUUAACUCCAUAAAAUUAUAAAAUUUAAUUUAAUUUUUUAAAAAUUAUAAAGAUAAUAGAUUAUAAAAAAUUAAAAUUUCAUACUGCUUUCUAGCUUCGUCCUUGGACAAAGAGUUGGCACUGUUGGAGAGAGAGACAAAGCAUUGUCUGAGGAGCUGAAGAGGGUAAUGAAGGAGCUACCUGUUGAGACAGCAGAGAAUGAAGAUCUACUCAAGCAGAUAAUCAACACCAGACAAUGCCACCGCGAAUGGACGCUUCUGGAAAUGCAGCUAAAGUAUGGGCCAUUAGAUUUCCUCAUGAGUUGUUGCAUUCCGUGUUAGAACCCUUCUUAAAAAGAGUGAAGCUUCGUGCUACUGUUGCUGCUCCACUUGAGAAUAAUGAGAGACUACGAAGGAAGCUACUCUAGAUGCUACCCUAGGCUUUGAAUAGAAUGUUAUAAUUAGUCAAGCGACUACUUCUGUUGUCGAGGAUGACUGAACUUUUAUAUUGUUUUUAUGAACCAUUGGAUUUGUUUUUUUGUGUUUGUUGUUUAUGAUCUAGGUUCAAAGUUGUUUGGAUCAGUGGCGAUCAGGCUAGGUUGCUUAGCAGAAGAAUCCAUGAAGGAUUCCCAGAAACGACAUCAAUUCUUGACAUCGUUUUUGUGAUAUUGGUCAAGGUAGGUUGAAGGUGCGCUAUUGGUGAUCUGUAACACAAAAUCAAAGGGUGCAAGAGUCAAGCACCCUCUGCUUAAGACAACAAAGUAUAACGGAAGAAGGAUCAAAGGAUGCAGGGUUUAAGGAAGAGAUUGUUUUGCGUACCUGAUCAACAUGGUGAAAGUGCAUAUUUAUAGGCUUUGUGCCUAGAGCUGCUCGGGUUGGUACCUCGAUUUCAGUUGGUUGUGCUUGGGCAUUUUUUUCGCAUAUUCAAGGUCAUUAGCUUCCUACCUUAUUUCGUUUUAACUCUUCACGGUCCUUGAUUGUGAAAGCUUUUGAGCUUUGCACAAGAAGGUCCCUUAUGAAGCAUUUCAAACCUGUUCCUAUUAUAUUAUGAGCUUAAAACCUUUUUAUGCGUUUUUGGUGAUUGAUUAGCCUACUCAUUGAUUAAACCAUUUUACUUGUCUGGGCUUGAGCCUGUGUUUAUUGUCUUUAGGUCUAGUACAUUGAAUUUUGUGUAUUAAAACUGUUAUUUUGGAUUUAUCCAAAAUCAAAAUGGUAUUGGAUUUAGAUGUGUUGAAUGAGUUGUGAUAAGGCUAUUCAAACCGAAAAAGGAAGAUUAACACAAUUGUGAGUCGGCGUGGCUAUGCGUGUCGACGGUGCUUACAUUGCAUGCUUGAUUAAUUUCCUCGGCACCUACGGCUCAUUGUCGACGGUAUUUCCUACUUGGUGAUUCGCAGAAGUUCCUGCAGCCGUGACCUCCAUUAUUCACAUUUUUGUUUGUGGAAAUCAACAGAAAAUACACCUACUGCUGCUGCUGCAUACAAUACUGGAUAUCUGAACAAGGCUUUGCACCAUUCAAUAUUAAAAAAAGAAAAAAAAGGAAGCGUUCAUCACAGUAUACCAUCAGAUCAUGUGGAAGUUAAUUUCCAACUUACACAUUUUUAAUUCAAGUAAAGACCUGAUGAAGCAAUGUCUAAAAACCAUUUAAAGAAAACAAAUGGCAACAGCAACCAUUCUAAGCAAGCACCAAAGAUAAGGCACCGAUAAAAAAUGUAUAAAUAUACCAGAAACAGAACAGCAAUUAUCAUUAAGAACUUUCUCCAUAAUCACUAACAAAACCUCCCAAAAAGGCACCAAACAAAAUAUUAAACCUAAGGAUACCUUCAAUAAUAAUUAAAAAAAACUAGUAAAAAGUUCCAAUAAGAAGAGUGGUGCUUAGUCAACUUCUUCCAUCUUGCUGCCUUCGGCAUCAGCAUCCUCCAAUAGGGGCAUAUCAGCAUCAGCUUCAGCUUCACCUGCAUCCUCGUCAAUGCUCAAGCCGAGUUUCAGCAUCCUGUGGAUUCUAUUGCCAAAGGUGUUAGGGUCAUCAAGGCUGAAGCCAGAGGUGAGGAGAGCAGUCUCGAAGAGAAGGAGAACAAGGUCCUUCACAGAUUUGUCAUUCUUGUCUGCAUCGGCUCUCUUUCUCAGCUCUUCCAUGAUGGGGUUCUCCGGGUUGAUCUCCAUCGUCUUCUUGCUUGACAUGUAACCAGCCAUGCUGUUAUCCCUCAAAGCCUGGGCCUUCAUGAUUCUCUCCAUGUUUGCAGUCCAACCAUACUCGCCAGUCACUAAACAACAAGGUGAGUCAACCACACGAUCAGAAACCACAACCUUUUCAACCUUGUCACCCAGCACAUCCUUGAUGACCUUGCAAAGACCCUCAAACUUUUCCUUCAAAGCUUCCUGCUUCUUCUUCUCAUCCUCACUCUCAUCAAUUUUAAGACCUUCCUUGGUAGCUGACACAAGCUUUUUGCCCUCAAAUUCCUUGAGCUGUCCCACAGCAUACUCAUCAAUAGCAUCAACCAUGUAAAGGACCUCAUAACCCUUCUUCUUCAGCUUCUCAAGGAAGGGAGAGUUCUCAACGGCCUUUUUACUCUCCCCAGUGAUGUAGUAGAUAUCAUUCUGACCCUCCUUCAUUCUGGUCACAUAGUCCUUCAAGCUGGUCAUCUCAUCACCACUCUUGGUGGAGUGGUAGCGGAGCAAUUCGGCAAUUUUAGUCCUGUUCUGAGAAUCCUCAUGGAUACCAAGCUUGAGGUUCUUCGAGAAUGCCUCAUAAAACUUGUUGUAAUCUUCCUUGUUCUCUGCUAUUUCAGAGAAGAGCUCAAUGCACUUCUUUACCAAGUUCUUGCGGAUAACCUUCAAGAUCUUGUUUUGCUGCAACAUUUCUCUUGAGAUGUUCAAAGGAAGGUCCUCUGAGUCGACAAUACCCUUAACAAAGCUGAGGAAUUCAGGAAUCAACUCCUCACAGUUGUCCAUGAUAAAGACACGUCUCACAUAGAGCUUAAUAUUGUUGGGCUUCUUCCUUGUGUCAAAGAGAUCAAAAGGAGCCCUCUUGGGGACAAAGAGGACAGCCUUGAACUCAAGUUGCCCCUCAACUGAGAAGUGCUUGACAGCCAAAUGCUCUUCCCAGUCAUUUGUAAGGCUCUUGUAGAAAGCAGCAUAUUCCUCUUUGGUAAUCUCCUCAGGCUUCCUCAUCCAGAUGGGCUUCUGUUUGUUCACCAAAGACCACUCAUGCGACACCUCCUUAAUCUUCUUCUUUUUCUUUUCUUCCUUCUCUUUCUCCUCAUCAACAUCCUCAACUUUCCCUUCUUCGUCCUUCUUAUCCUCCUCAUCUUCAUCAUCAGAAAUCUCCUUCUCAGUGGUCUUCUCAAUCCAAAGGGAAAUCGGGUAGCUAAUAAAUUCAGAAUGCUUCUUAAUCAAAUCCUUCAAACGUCGCUCCUCAAGGUACUCAAGCUGAUCCUCUUUCAAAAACAGAGUUAUCUUUGUACCCCUACCAAGGUUCUCCCCGGAAGUAUCCCUGGUAACAGUGAAUGAACCACCAGCUUGGGACUCCCACACAUAUUGUUCAUCAUCAUUAUGCUUUGUGGUUACAAUAACCUUCUCAGCAACCAAGUAUGCUGAGUAGAAACCAACACCAAAUUGACCAAUCAUACUAACGUCAGCACCAGCAGCCAGUGCUUCCAUAAACUCCUUAGUACCAGAUCUUGCGAUUGUACCAAGAUUAUUCACCAAAUCUAAACAACAAAAAUAUAUAAAUGCAUUAGAUUCCCAUUUUACAUGAAACUCCACAACUAAAUGCACAAUAGUUGAUACUCCAAUACACAAGAACACACUUACCAGCCUUAGUCAUGCCAACACCACUGUCAAUGAUGGACAGUGUGUUGUUAGUCUUGUCUGGAAUAAUGUGGAUGAAGAGCUCAGGUUGAGCAUCGAGCUUGCUCUUGUCUGUUAAGCUCUCAAAUCUGAUCUUAUCCAAAGCCUACAGCGAACAAGUAUAAGAUUAUAAGAACUACUAGCAUUAUUUUAUGCACAUUAGAUUUACGAGAUCAUUUUUAUUCACUAAUCAUCCAUACCAAUAAAGAGCACAAAUUCAAACCAACUUUUAAGUCUAAAAAAUCAGUCAUUUGAACAACAAAUGAACAUAGCGUAUCAUGUAUUGACUAAACAAGCUACCAGGAACAGGUUUAACAUUAUUUUAAUUACUAAUCAUACCUAAAGGCCCCUUAAUUUGCAGUAUGUUAAACAAAAUUAGAUUCACGAGAUCAUCUUCACUCACUUUUUUACAACUCACAAACACCAAUAAAGAGCACAAUUUGAAACUAACAACAUGAAGCUUUUAUAAAAGAUUAGAAAAUUUUCACUCUCGACUAACUUUUAUGCAUACAAAAUCACUCACUUUUAUCCGUAAUGAUAAAAAUACAUCAAAUGUCAAAUCUAAAUUUUUUUUACUGAGUAAUAAAAGCCAUAUGCAAAUCAAAUUGAAUAACCAAUGAACAGAUAUCCAGUAUUAAACGUCAGAAUAACCCUAAACAAAACCUAUAGCUUCCAUCAUGAAGAAUAAACAAACAAAAAAAUCCAUCAUCAUCAAAUCACGAAAUAUCAGAUUCAUUUAAAAAAGCAUUCAAAAGGAAAUUAAAAACAAAAACAAAAACUCAAUAUUUCUCAGUUUUUAAAAACGGAAAAUACCAUAAAAAGGAAACUUACAUCGGAUGCGUUGCUGAUGAGCUCACGAAGAAAGAUCUCUUUGUUGCUGUAGAAAGUGUUGAUGAUCAAGCUAAGAAGCUGAUUGAUCUCAGCUUGGAAAGCAAAUGUCUCUGUAUCCGCCAUUAAUGAAUAACCUCUAAACUCCCGAUCUAAAAUACGCUUAGCAAAAUGAGAAUCUCGAAAGCUUUCGAGGUUAGAAUUUGAAGAGAGAAGAAAAAGAUCAAAGUGAGGCACUGCUCUGAGCUUGCACUUAAAGAGAGUUAAUAUAUGAAACUUAAUUAGGGUUUCUAGAUCCUUCCAUUGCCGCUCUUCUUUAUAUUAAAAAUAUAUUUAUUAGAAAAAUAUCAAUAAUUGAAGCUGAAAAAUAAAUACUAUCAACCAACCAACCCGAGAACCAACCCGAGAUAUAUAUAUAUUUGGAGGUAGAAAAUUAAAUUAUAAUUUUUUUAUAGUAAAAAUAUAACUUAUUAUUUUAGUAGUUUAUAUUUUUAUAAUUUUUAAAUAAUUAAAUUAAUUUUCAUAUUUUUAGUGGCUUAAAGAAUAAUUUUAUUUUUAUUGAUUUAGAAUUUAAAAAAUUUUAAAGACGUUAGAUAAAAGAAUUUUUAUUUUAAGGGAGGUUGGGCCCUACUAUUAGAGAGUAUUUUUUUAAUAAUUUUAUUAUAGACUAUUUUUUUAACAAUUUUAUUAUAGGUUUAGUCAUAUUUGUUUUUUUUGUGCCACAAUACGUAGAAUUACAUAUAAUUUCUUCCCAACUUAUAAAUGAGAAGAUAAUGAGUUUCAGCACUGUCGAAUCCAUAUCUUCCUACAUUAGCAACAAUACCCAUACAAAUCGAAACAAGAUUCAAUCGGCUACUAUUAGAUAGGAAUUGAUAUGAUGAAAAAUACAUGUAAAAAAAUAUGAAAUAAUUUUUUUCAAUUAAAAUAUUAUUAAUAAAGAUUUAAUUCGAAAUUUUAUUACUAAUAAAGUUUAUGAUAAUAUAUUAAAUACAUGAAUAUUAUUGGUAUUUAAUAAAGGUAAAUUUGGGAAUUAUCACUACAUUCUCAAAAAAUAAAUAGUGAAUCAAUCGUGAUAAUACAACUUUUCAAAUAUUUUAAUUCAUACUUUCUAAUGUCUACCAAACGUUGCAAAAAAAAUCUUGUUGAAAUUAUAACAUUAAAAAGUACCAAGCGCUACCUUAAUGAAUCACAUUAAGUCAUUGCAGGCUCGGCCCUAAAGGUUGUUUGAUAGUGCAGCCGUCUAAGGCCAAAGACUAAAAAGGGUCCAAAAAAAUAUUCUUUUAGCUUUUAAUAUGAAAAAUAAUUCAAACUAAAAUAAAUUAAUUAAGUGACUAGUACUUUCAUUUUUUUUACCAUAAAUACUUCAUCUCUUAGGGUCUCAACAAAUUUUCAGUUUUUAUUAUAUUACAUUUUGUAAUUUUUCCUAAAGUGAACUCAAUUUAUUGCUUUGUCUAGGGCCCAAAAUGUCAAGAACGGGUCUAAAUCACUGUAUCAUUAAAUAAAACACCAUUUGAAAACUUGUAAAUAAAAACUGUUGAGUUUACUUCAAUGUGAUUAAAAUUAAUUAAACUUAUGGUUUUUUCAUUUCUUACAUAAAAAAAAUAAAAAAAAACUUCUUUAAAAUCCUAAGAAAAACUUGUAAAGCUAUUAUUUUCUUAUCUACUUCCUAUUUCUCUAUAAUAAAAUUAUAAUUUUUUUUAGGAUUUUAAAGAAGAUUUCUUUUCUUGUAGGAGAUGAGAGGGUUUUUUACUAAAAUAGGACAAUAAAAUAAAAUAAUACUAAAAUAAUACAAAGCAAAAAUUAUGUACCAAAAUGGUACGUUUGGGUGGUGCCGCCUAUGACAGAAGCGUGAUCACCCAUGUCAAAUCAAAAUUCUAUUUAAAAUUUUAAAAACAAAAAAAAAACAAAAAGCUAAAAAAAAAAACAAAAGUUGGCAGAUCGAGGGGGUGCCAGAGGCGGCACCGGUUAUGCCUUUGGCAGAGGCGGCACCUUGAUGGGACGGCUCAUGCAGCAACUCAUUUGUUGUUUUGUGUUAGGGACCAUUAUAAGAUCCCCAUGUUUCAGCAGCAGAAGCAAGAAGCAGAAAGGAGAAGAAGAAGAAUGAGAAAGAAAAAAAAAAAGAGAAGAGAAGAAGAAGGUCCCCAACUCAAAAAAAACAAACGAGGUGCCGCCUCUGCCAGAGGCACAACCGGUGCCGCCUUUGGCACCCCGUCGAUCUAUCAGCUUUUGAUUUUUUUUUGUCACUUUUUUUUUAGCUUUUUGUUUUUUUUUUAAUUUUUAUACAAAUUUUUUUAUUUGACAUGAGUGGUCACGCCUCUCCCAUAGGCGGCACCACCCCAAAUAUACCAUUUUAGUACUUAAUUUUUGCUUUGUAUUAUUUUGAUAUUUUUUAUUUUUUGUCCUAUUUUAGUAAAAAACCCGAGAUGAGAACAUAAUAAAAUUAAUCAAUUUUAAUUAUAUUCAAAUAAACUUAAUAGUAUUCAUUAAUAAAUUUUCAUUUUUUUACCUUUUUACUUAUUAAUGAAAUAGUUUGACGUGAUACAAUGAUGAUGUAUGAGAUUUAUAUAAUAUGUACAAAAUUAAAUAAAAUUUAAUUUAAAUUAUAAAUAAAAAAAAAUUUAAAUAGGUAAAUACAUUGAAUUAAAAAUAUUGAACUCUAAAUAUUUUUUUAAAAUUUUGAUUUUUAAUUGUUUAAAUUUAAACACUUUAAUCAUAUAAAAUUAAAUAAAAGAUGAAAAUAUCAUUACAUCAUAAUUAAAAAUAAUUUAUGUUAUUUUGUUAAGAAAAUAAUAAAUAAAUUUUUAUAUUGUUUUUUAAGUAAAUUACCUAUAUAACCUUUUUAAUAUAUCAUGUUUAUUUUUAAAAAUUAAUUAUUUGAUAAAUUCUCAAUCGAGUUGGUGUUCAAUUAACCUAUUAUAUUAAACUCAAUAAAAAAUUUUAAAUAAUAACUAGAUUAUGAUACACCUCGUUAUUUGCGUGAAAAUGUUUUUAUAACAAAUUUAUAAAAAUAAAUGAGGUAAAAACUAAGUACAACUUUAGCUAAUAUGAUAAAGUUGAAGAUGUGGAAAUCAUAAUAUUUUGGGUUUAAAUCUCAUCAUAUACAUAUAUAUGUAUGUAUUUUUUUAGAUUUUAUAUAAAAAUAUAAAAAAACAAAAGUAUCUUCAAAAUAUAUUUUUUAAAUAUAUCUUCAAAGUAUUUUUUGUUGAUUUGUAAAAACAAAGAGGUUUUUUUUUUAUAAUUUCACAAAUGAAUUGAAACUCAGUUAAUAAGUGGCAUUAACUCGAUAAAUUGAUAAAUAAUGGUAUAGAGAUGGACAUAUAUGUAUAAAAAAAUAGUAAUUGUCGAUAAAGUAAUCAAAAUGUAAACGAUUUUUAAUGUUUUUAAAAUAAUAAUUGAUAAAUUAUUAAAAAUUGCAAAUAAUUUUCUAAUUGAAUUUAUUAAAAUUUAUUAGCACGAUGCAUACAAGUUCCAAUUCAUAUAAAACAUCAUAUCCUUAUACAUGUAUAAACAAAAGCUUUUGUUAUAAAAAAUACGAUUUAACUACUAACUAGAGGCAUUUAAUUAUUAGUUCUGCUGAAUCACUUUAUACACAUAAACAUAUUUGCGACAUUUAUACCCACCGACAAUUUAACAUAUAAUAAUCAUUGAAAGCUUGAGAAAUGAACUUACAAACAUUAGCAAUAAUUGUCCUAGUUGCAUAAUUUAAUUAUUAAAUAAGUAAUCACGAAAACGACAGGUUGCACAUUCAUAACUCAAAUGUGACAUCUUGUAGAUGCAUCUAUCAAAAUCAUAUCAAAACAUCCACUUGUUGGAUAAGCGGGUUCAUAGUUCUUUAAAAAAUGGUACAAAUUCAAUUUUAACUUUUGUUAGUGAUGUUUUUAAUAACUCGUAUUCUUUGAGAACAAGCAACAAUUAAAAAUAUUUAAAAUUAAGUAUAUUCAGGUUCUUUAAUAAAUUUCUAUGUAAAUUUUUAUGUUGCCGUAUCAUUAUUGAUUGAGAUGAUAUAAUCAAUCAUGCUAAUUAAUUAGUAUAUUUGGACUCGUAAAUUUGCAAUUUAUUAUGCACGUGAUUCAAUAAUACUAAAGUAAACUUUCAGUUUACAAUUGGACGUGAUUUAACCAUACAAACAAAUAUACUAAUAUUGUAUUGAAGAAAACACCAAGUUAAUAAGUGGUGCGAGAUUAAAAUAUAAAAUCAUAGCCUAAAACCACAUGGAUUUUCGAUUAAAAAACAAUAAUGAAAGCAAUUAGUGGUGCGAGAUUUAAUCUUUUUGCAGGCAGUGAUUUUUUUUAUUACAUAUUAUGAAAUAAAUAAUAAAAAGAGUAAAAUAACAAGAAAAAUAAGAGAGCGAAAGAGAACGUAUUUAUUCAAAAUCAAAAUCCGUUGGAAAGAUAAUCAUAAUAAUAUCACUUAAUCUAAACGGUGAGAUAUAAAGUUAUGACAAUAUAAACGGUGAUAUAUCAAAUUAUGUAGAAAGUUAAAGUAUAAAGAUUAAAUAUCAAAUUAAAGACUUGAAAUUGCAAUUUAAACAUUUUUAUAUAUUCUAAAAAAGUAGAGGGAUUAGGUUUGAAAUUUAUCCUUUAUGUUAAUAAUAUAAUAAAAAUAAAAGCCUUGGACGCUUCUCCAUAAGUCAAUCGUAACUCAAGCUACAAAAUUUCGAUUCACUUGAAUUCAAAAUUCGUUGGAAAGCUAAUAUUGUUUGAAUCAAUUUCAAGGACGAAAUUGGAAAGUUCCCUAAAUCAUUGUAGAUUGUUUCAAAGAUUUGAUUUGGAGAUACACAAAUUAUGAAAUUAUACUAAUUAAUUUUAAAACCAAUUAGGAAACUAUAAUCUUUAAAUAAAAUCAAUUCCCCUAAAAUAUUGGCUUCCAAAAUGGAAGAAUUUCCAUUUCCCACCCUUCAUCAAUGGGUGAAAUCAAGCAAAUUAUUUCCAAAAAAAAAAAAAAAAACCAUGCACACAAAGAGCAUUUAGCACCACAUCACAAGCAACACACACAUAUAUAUAUAAACAAACCAAAACAUAUAAUAUCGAAGACCAAAGCAAUGAUGCAUACAAUUCUUUCUUCAUUGCUUUUAUCAUUCGUUGUUUUCUCUUUGUCGCAGUCUCCUACUUUUGCUAUAAAAAAGGUGGGAAAAAUCUUCAUCUCUUUUAAUAUCCCAAUGCAAAUUCUUGGUUUAUUUUUAAAUUUGUAUAAAUUCUUUUUUUUUAAAUUUAUUUUUGUUGUUGUUCUUGUUGCAGUCUUAUAUAGUGUACUUAGGAGGACAUACUCACGGUCUAAAUCCGACAACUGCCGAUCUAGAGUACGCCACGAAUUCUCACUAUGAAUUGUUGGCUUCAUCUGUAGGAAGGUAUAGUUAAAAACAAUCUGUAAAUUUUAAUUUAAUGUAUUUUUGUAAUUCAAUUUCAAUAUAGUUCUUGUUUUGCUGUACUGAAUUAGCUAGAGAGAAAAUAUUUUACUCGUACACUCGAAACAUCAAUGGCUUUGCUGCUAUCUUGGACGACAAGGAAGCUGCAGAUAUUGCAAGUAAUAUAUAUAUAUAUAUAUAUAUAUAUAUAUGCAUAUGUAUUUGUGUAUGCAUACAUCAUUGAACUCUGCCUAUGUUUUUUCUGAUGCAUGUAUGUAUGUUUGGUCUAUGAUUAAAAACAGAACAUCCUAAUGUCGUGUCGGUUUUCUUGAACAAAGGACGAAAAUUGCAUACAACACAUUCAUGGGAUUUUCUCAGAUUAGAGAGGGAUGGUUUGGUCCCUGUUGAUUCACUUUGGAACAGAUCGAAUUUUGGUGCCGAUGUAAUUAUUGGAAACCUUGAUACAGGCAUGUUAUAUAUUUGGUUUUGCUGGCAUGUUUUUUUGAUAUGUUUUUUUUGUUGUAAUGUAAUGGUUUUUUUUGGUGAAGGUGUUUGGCCGGAAUCGAAGAGUUUUAGUGAUGAAGGGUAUGGACCCAUCCCAUCAAGGUGGCGAGGAUCGUGUUCCCGUGAUGUUGGUGGAGUUGUUUGCAAUAGGAAGUUGAUUGGAGCGAAGUUCUUCAACAAAGGUUAUUUGGCUUUCAUUGGUGUUGCACUCAAUAACACGUUCAAGACUGUACGAGACCACGAGGGACACGGUUCACACACCCUCUCAACAGCCGGUGGCAACUUUGUUCCCGGAGCUAGUAUAUUUGGUCACGCUAAUGGAACUGCGAAAGGAGGAUCCCCUAGAGCACGUGUUGCAGCUUACAAAGUAUGCUGGCCACCUCUCGUAGGUGGCAAUGAGUGUUUUGAUGCAGACAUCAUCGCUGCUUUUGAUGCUGCAAUAAGUGAUGGUGUUGACGUGCUUUCUGUGUCGUUGGGUGGUAAUCCAUCUGAAUUUUUUGAAGAUGGGAUCUCGAUUGGAGCUUUUCAUGCCGUUAAGAAAGACAUUUCUGUUGUUUCAUCAGCUGGAAAUUCCGGACCAGAUCCAGGAACUGUAUCAAAUGUGUCACCGUGGAUGUUCACUGUUGGUGCUAGCACACUCGAUAGGGAGUUCGUAAGUUAUGUCCAACUAGGCAACAACAAGCAACUCAAGGGAGCAAGUUUGUCUUCCGUAGCAAUGUCAUCCCGGACUUUCUAUCCGUUGAUCAGUGGUGACAAGGCCAAAGCAGCCGAUGCAUUAGCAGAAGACGCGUACGAGUCACUCUCCAUUUGAUUUUCAUAAUCCUACAUCAUUAAAAUAUAAAUGAGUUGCAUUGGUUCACUUGGACAUGUGUGUCUUUUGCAGCAUCCUAUGUCAGCCCGAAACAAUUGAUCCCAAAAAAGCUAAAGGGAAAAUUUUAGUAUGUGUUCGAGGAAUCAGCGGGAGAACAGGCAAGGGAAAACAAGCUCUUCUUGCAGGUGCAGUCGGGAUGAUACUUGUAAACGACAGGAAAAGCGGAAAUGAAGUCAUAGCAGACCCUCACUUGCUCCCUGCCACACACAUAAAUUUCACUGACGGUAAUACUUUGUUUGCAUAUAUCAACUCUACCAGGAACCCCACAGCAUAUAUUACUCCUGUGGAGACAAAAUUUGGUUUAAAGCCUGCGCCGGUUAUGGCUGCUUUCUCUUCUAGGGGACCUAGUUUAAUCGAGCCAUCGAUCCUCAAGGUAAGUUUUCAAUGGCUGAAUCAUUGACCCUUCAGAUUAGUAUAUAAUGUUUCUAAUUUGUUCGAAUAUCUGUCUCAGCCUGAUAUAACUGCACCAGGAGUGAGUGUCCUUGCUGCUUUCACUGAAUUCGUUGGUCCGACUGAAGAUGAAUCCGAUAAUCGUUAUGAUGCCGUUCUGUUUACAAUCCGGAACUUCAAUGUCAUGUCCUCAUGUUUCCGGUAUUGUUGGUCUCCUCAAGAGCCUACAUCCUGAUUGGAGUCCAGCAGCUAUAAGAUCCGCAAUCAUGACCACUGGUAUAUACAUAUAAACUCUUUUAAAAAUCUUCUUCCAAACUGAUUUGUCGUCCUAACUUGUUUUUCUCCAAUACCAUUUCGCAGCAAGAAUAAGAGAUGACACUGGGAAUCCAAUGCUAGAUUCGAGCAACAAGAGAGCAACCCCAUUUGCUUACGGCUCAGGACAUGUUAGACCGAACCGUGCAAUGGAUCCCGGUCUUGUUUACGACCUAACAGUUAACGAUUACUUGAACUUCUUGUGUGCCCGUGGCUACAACCAAAACCUUUUAAGUCUAUUUUCGGUCAAGCCGUAUGCAUGUCCGAAGUCAUAUGGUGUAAUGGACUUAAACUAUCCUUCCAUUUCGGUUUCUCAACUCAAUGGCUCAAUGACGGUUAGCAGGACAGUUAAGAACGUUGGUUCAGCAAGGUCAACAUAUAAAGCACGUGUUAGAUCGCCAGCUGGAGUUACUGUUUCGGUUAAACCAUCGACAUUAAAGUUCGAGAAGAUCGGUGAAGUGAAGAAAUUUGAAGUAAAAUUCGUGUUGAAUAAGAGCAACGCAAAAUCUGAGGAUUAUGUUUUCGGGGAGUUGCUUUGGUCUGAUGGUAGUCACUAUGUGAGGAGUCCUAUAGUGGUGAAGCAUAAGUAAAGUUUUUUUCUGUUUAUUUUUAGGGUUGGAGGAUGAAAUUGAACAUUUUUAUUAUUGGCAUUCCAUUCUUUGGAAAAUAAAUUAAAAUAUGUACUCUAGAUGAAAAUUCAAUGCUUUUAAGGAAGUUAAUAUAUUAAAAAAUCCUAAACCUGAUACACUUUAUUCAGAUAAGUCCUUAAAUAGCAGAAAAUUUAUUCAGAUAUAUCAAACUUCUUUUAAUAUAUUGGCAGAAAAAUAAAUUAAGAUCUUCCUCGUAAAAUAACUUUAAGAAUUUUUUUUUGCUUUUUACUCUUUUUAUUUAAUAUUUUAAAUUUUUAUACUUUGUGAUGACAAUAGGGAUUAGUGUGACAAAUUUUUGCCAGCCUCGAUUCCAACUCAAUACUCUACCACCAUUCCCUGAUCUUAAGCUUAAAAAAAUUGUAAUCUACCCCAAACUCGAACCUGAAAAUUAAUUGUAUAUCUGACCCUGAUUUAAUUUGAGUUCAAAAUUUUUUAUUUGAAAUUGUGAUUAAUUACAUUAAAAAAUAUAAAAAAACUAUGCUUGGGAUGAUUAAGUAAAAAAAUUUACAUCAUAGAAAAAAUAAGAAACAAAAUAAGAGGGGACUUCGAAAAAUAAAUUAAAUUGAGAGGGUGAAAGAAACUAGUGUGAAAUGAAAGUAAAUACGGUAAAAUGAUAUUGACAGCUAUGAAGUUUAAGAAAUUUUUAACUUAAUUAAUAUGAAAAAAAAUAUAAGACUAAUUUCGUAAAUAUUUUGAGACGUCCCGAUUUGAUCUAACCAUUCUUUAAAACUAACUCGACCUAGAAUUCAUUUUCAAAAAAAUACCUUGACCCUAUAAGUCGGAUUCACUCGAAACAUGUCAAUUUCAAAAAAUUUUGCCAUCCUUAACUUUAGUAUGCUUAAAUGAUUGAAAAAAAAAUCUAUAUUAAUUCAGAAAACAUUACAAUAAUUUUUUCAACUUCUACACAUUUAAUUCUGGUCACAUAAAUAAAUUUAUUAUUUUAAAAAUAUUGCAUAAUUUAAUUUAACGGAACUUUGUAAUAAAAUUAUGGACUUUAUUAAAUCAUAGAUAAAUUAAAUUUUAGAGAAUAUAAAAAAUAAAGGGUAAAUUGUAUUAGUAAUCACUCAAUUUUAGUAAAUUUUUUUUUGGUCACCCAUCUAUUAGUAAAUUUGUUUUGGUCAUCCAAUUAUUAAAAGUUAUAAAAUGAUCACUUUGUUAUUCUAUUUUAUCUUUUUCGGUCACCCAACUAUCUUAGAUUCUUAGGUAUAGUCAUUUUUAUAUUAGUCCAAUGACCAAAAAAAAUAAAAUUGAAUAGUUAGGGCGAUCAUUUUAUAAUUUUUUAUAGUUGAGUGAUCAAAAAGAAAAUUUACUAAUAGUUGAGUGACUGUUUUGUAAUUUUUCAUUGUUAGGUGGCAAAAAAAAAUACUGUGUAGUUUACCCAAAAAUAAAAAGUAAUUUUCAAAUGCAUAAACUUUGGACAAAAUUAAACCUUUUAAAAUUUUUUUCCCAUGAACCUAGUUGCCAUUAAAACAGAAUAAAAGGAGACAAACCCAGAUCCAAAAUCUUGAAACUAGAGAUCUGGUGUCUUUAAUUGUAUUUGACUCAUGGUUUAUAUACCCAAAACAGAAAGAAAAAUUGAAUUUGGUCUAUUUUAAAUUAAAGCCUCGUUAAUCCAUCAAUCAAAUCAAUUUAGCCUCUCUAAAUUUUCUCUAUUUGCCCCAAAAGGCCCAAUUCCUCCUUCUUCCCCAUCUCUUCACUUUCCAAUUUUCCAAGUCACCCAUCAUUCGGAAAAAAAAAAAAACAAGAAUUUCAGAUUCAGAGCGCACUUCGCCUCUUCUUCUACUGUUAUUGUUCUCUCAAAAUUCUUGGGUUUUUUUUUCAACUCAGAUCCUUCAUUUCUGGCCAAGGAAACAGAUACCCAAGCUUCUUGAUUGUGUAAAAAAGAUCGUUGUAACCAAAUAGAUCGGUUUGUGUUUGUGAAAUGGCUUCAACGGGGAAUCCAAAUCAAACCAUCCCAUUUGAUGUGCAAAAGUUCUUCAAACCCACAGUUUCUAACCCAUCAAAUUCCAACUUUCAACAACAAAAUCUAUCUUCUUCGCCAUAUCCUACACCUUCUCCUUACCCUUCACCUUCUCCACCUUUCUUUCACCCACAGUAUCACCAAUUCUACAUGCCUCCUUCUUCUCCUACCCAUGCUACUUACCAAGAUUCCAAAUCCCUUUCUUUCCCUUCACCCCCUCUUAGCCCUUACAAUGCUGGCACCCAAAUUCUUGCCCUUAUUAACUCUUCCCCUCAAAACCCUGAUUUCCCACCUCAAAAUCAACCCCCUAAACUGCAGCAACCGCCUCACGCUGAGUUUUUGGGUUCUGGGGGUCCCAAUGUAGGGCCUUCGAGGGUGCCGAGUUGUAAAUUGCCUAAAGGAAGGCGGUUAUCAGGCACUCAGGUGGGUUAUGAUAUUGACACGAGGCUGUCCGGGGAGGUUCAGCCUCAGCUCGAAGUUACUCCCAUAACCAAGUAUGGGUCUGAUCCUCAGCUGGUACUUGGAAGGCAGAUUGCUGUUAAUAAGUCUUACAUUUGUUAUGGGUUGAAAGGAGGCAGUAUUAGGAUUCUUAAUUUAAACACUGCAUUGAGGUCUUUGUUCCGUGGGCACACGCAGGUUUAUCUCUUCUUUAACUUUGUUGAUUGUGCUUUUAGUUGUUGUUAUUGGAUUGAAAUGAAUGUAGUAGUAGACAGUUUAGAGCUUUAUGGUAUUAAAGUGUAUGAAUACAAUCUUGGCAUGUUAAAGUAUGAAAGAAAUGUGCAUUUUAUUUCUGGCAUCCCAAGCUUUGGGUGCGUAAGUUACUGCUUUUGGAUGAUUAUGAUUGUCUAUUGAUCCAAUUGUCAUUUUCAUUUAUCUCAGAGGAUCACAGACAUGGCCUUCUUUGCGGAGGAUGUUCAUCUUUUGGCUAGGUAUUUGUCUUUCUUUAAUUGGUUAUUACACUUCCCUUUUUCCCUUUUUGAUUCUUGGUGAUACACUUUUCUGCAGUGUGAGUCUAGAGGGAAGGAUAUUUGUUUGGAAGGUAUCUGAAGGUCCAGAUGAAGAAGAGAAACCACAGAUUACAGGGAAGAUAGUUAUUGCUGUUCAGAUAUUAGGCGAUGAGGAAUAUGUACAUCCACGUAUUUGUUGGCACCGGCACAAACAAGUAAUGCAACUUCUUUAAUGUUUUAUCCAUAUUAAAAGGGUUAUUACUAUGUUGUUGCCAAUGGUAUUGCAAUCUCAUUUUGCAGGAAGUUUUGGUGGCUGGGAUUGGAAAACACAUUCUGAGAGUUGAUACCAUGAAAGCUGGGAAGAAUGAAGUCUUCUCAACUGAUGCACCUACACCUCUCCAAUGUCCUAUAGACAAGUUGAUUGAUGGGAUUCAGUUGGUUGGUAAACAUGAUGGAGAAGUUACUGAUGUUUCAAUGUGUCAGUGGAUGAUUACCCGUUUAGUGUCUGCUUCUACAGAUGGCACGGUUUGUAUUUUCAUUUGCCAUUUUGUUAUAUUGACUUGCAGAUAUCUAUGUAAUCUCUCUAUGCUCCAUUGUGGUAUAGUCAUGGAACCAAGAUCUUGGUUUCUUGUUGUUUAGUGCUGGAAUUUCAUGUUGACUGCAUGGAUAUAUGCAGUUAUGUCAAGAUUGCUGUACUUACAAGUUUAUGUUAUGCUACAGAUAAAGAUAUGGGAUGACCGCAAGUCAGUGCCACUAACAGUGUUGAGACCACAUGACGGCCAACCUGUUUAUUCAGCUACAUUCUUAACUGCUCCUCACCGACCAGAUCAUAUUAUACUCAUAACAGGGGUAAUGAUUUUCAUGUUCUCUAUGUGUGCAUCAAGCUUCUGCCUUUUUGAUAUUCACUGACUUGCUGAUUUAAAGUUCAUAGUUGUUCAAAUUCUUAUGAUCUAGUUGGUAUGACAUGCAAGUUUGUGCAUUUACCUUUUAGGCUUUGGUCUAUUUUAAAUGGGGGUUUAUUUAUUUAUUUUUAAUUUAAGGACUAUAUUUUUGCUUUACUUUUCCCUAUGAGAAUCUUGUUAUUCCAUUGAAUAUCCAUUUAUCUGAUUCAUCAUAUUUUACACUUUUGACCUUUUUCUUUAGGGGCCCCUAAAUCAAGAAAUCAAAGUUUGGACAUCAGCAAGUGAAGAGGGUUGGCUUCUUCCAAGCAAUACUGAAAAAUGGACUUGCACCCAGACAUUGGAGUUGAAAAGUUCUGCUGAACCUCAAAUGGAAGAAGCAUUCUUCAAUCAAGUUGUUGCAUUAUCACAAGCUGGCCUUUUCUUACUUGCAAAUGCUAAAAGAAAUGCUAUUUACGCUGUACACUUAGAAUAUGGUUCUUGUCCAUCUGCUUCACGCAUGGAUUACAUAGCAGAGUUCACUGUCACUAUGCCCAUAUUAAGUUUUACUGGGACAAGUGAUCCUCCUGAUGAACAUAUUGUUAAAAUAUAUUGUGUACAGACACAGGCUAUACAGCAGUAUGCUUUGGAGUUAUGCCAGUGCAUCCCACCACCACUGGAAAAUAUUGGCUUGGAGAAGUCAGAUUCAAGCGUUUCUCGUGAUGCUAUUAACACCGAAGGCUUUGAUACUUUCAAUCCAUCUGGAACUAGGCCUUCUGACUUACCCCUUUAUACUUCAGUUCCCAAACCAAGUGCACGAGUAAGUAGCUCUGAAAAUUUAACUGCAGCGAGGUAUCCUUCAAGCCCCCAUUCUAUUGAGGCAAAUACUGCACAAGAGCUAAACACUUCGAAUAUUGAUCCCAAGCCUGCUUCUUCUGCUUUGGCAUCAACAGCAAGUGAUGCUGAUAUUGUAUGUGUUGCAUCACCACCAACAGUUCCUCCAAGUCCUAGGUUAUCUAGGAAACCCUCUGGUUUUCAUAACUAUGAGGAUUAUCCAGUUGACAGACAAAUGGACACUGUUCGAUCGAAUUUGUCUGGUAUGCAUUCAUCAGAAGAUGGUUCAAGGAAUGAUGACAAGAAAAUGGUAUCAGAUGACAAAUCUGGUGCAUAUAAUCCGCCUAUCAUUUUCAAGCAUCCAACUCAUCUUGUGACCCCAUCUGAGAUAUUGAUGGCUGCAACAUCUUCUGAAACUACUAAUGUCAAUGAGGGAAAGAGUGAGGGCGAGGUGCACAUUCAGGAUGUGGUUGUCAAUAAUGAUGCACGCAAUGCUGAGUUGGAGGUAAAAGUCGUGGGUGAAGCAAGAUCAUCUCAGAACAAUGAAUUUGGUUCCCAUGGAGACUCCCAAAAUCGAAAUUUGGAAAAUAGAGAGAAAUUCUUUUGCUCCCAGGCUUCAGAUCUUGGUAUUCAGAUGUCAAGGGAGAGCAGUGCGAUAUCCAGGGAUGCUUACGUUGUUGAUGAAUCUCAGCAAGUGGAUGGUGUUGGUGCAUCAGGGUCACAUGUGAAGCCUAAUAUUGCUGAGGAAGAAAUUAAUGAUUCCAGAAAGGAUCUUUCUGGAAAGGGUUUGGAAUCAGCCAUACCUUCUACAUAUCAACAAUCACCAACAUCAGGUGCAAAAUGGAAGAAACAUAAAGGGAAAGGUUCUCAGGCAUCUGCUCACACUUCCCCUUCUUCAAGUGCUUUCAAUUCUGCAGAUUCUACCACUGAACCAGGAGCAAAUUCCAAUCUCCCCUCAGCUGCUGCUGCAUUUCCUCAAAUUGCGGCUAUGCAAGAUAUGCUUAAUCAGGUGAUUGCUAAAGAAAGAAAUAAAAAAAAAUGGUUAUACCUGUAUGCUUCUGUUGUAUGCUUAUUUCUGUUGCGUGUUAAUAGUUAAAUAUGCUAGGAGAGUGUAUAGAUAUAACAAAGCAUUAUCCUUGAGUAUCCUCAAAUAGUCUCUAAAGUUUUCAUUUGUGUUUAUAAUCAUUGAUCAUUUCAUAAUUUUGGAUAAAAAUCAACCCAUGUGCAUUUAUUCAUUUAUUUAAAGGUUCACCUCAAUGACUAUAUGCUUAUCACAUUUUCACCUAUUGUUCCUUUGAUGUAUUUUGCCUAGCAAUAUGUUAGCUUUCUUUUCUAAACAAAUGUGGUUUAAAACUUUUUGCUGCACUGUUAUGGUAUCUUGACUGUGGUUUCAAUCAUUCUUGCAGCUAAUUACUACACAAAAGGAAAUGCAGAAACAAAUGUCAAAUAUUGUCAACCAACCAGUUACAAAAGAAGGAAGAAGACUAGAGGCUGCUCUAGGACGGAGCAUUGAAAAAGCUCUUAAGGCCAAUACUGAUGCUCUAUGGGCUCGUUUUCAGGAAGAAAAUGCAAAAAAUGAGAAGCUGCUUCGAGAACAUACACACCAGAUAACUAACUUGAUCACUAAUUUUAUGAACAAGGAUUUGGCAGUAAUGUUGGACAAAGUAGUCAAGAAGGAAUUAGCCGGAGUUGGACCAGCUGUUAUUCGUACCAUUACUCCAGCAAUAGAGAAAACCGUAACUUCAGUGAUCAAUGAGUCCUUCCAGGUUAGACUUUUAAAAUCUAGUUCUUUUGCUGGAAAGCUUAAUGGAAUCUAAUUGGUCCUUUGUAUGACAGAGAGGGGUUGGAGAUAAAGCAGUGAAUCAACUAGAAAAGUCUGUUAAUUCGAAACUCGAAGCUAUAGUUGCCAGGCAAAUUCAAGCCCAGUUUCAAACUUCUGGCAAGCAAGCACUCCAGGUAUGCACAAGUUCACUGUAUUUGGUAAUAGCUAUAGGCGGAUAUUUUCUUUCUCUUGUUAUGAGAUCAAAUUAGUGUCAUUCGUAUGUUCCAGGCAAUUUCUGGUUAUUAAUUUAUCAUUUCUUUUAGGAGGCUUUGAGGACUAGUGUGGAAGCUCUAGUGGUCCCUGCUUUUGAGAUUUCAUGCAAAGCCCUGUUUGAGCAAGUAGAUUCUGCGUUUCAGAAAGGGAUGGUUGAGCAUACCAAUGCUGCUCAGCAGCAGUUAGAGUCUGCAAGUUCUUCUUUGGCAAUUACUUUAAGGGUAUGUUCUUUCUCACAUUUACUAUUUAAAUGAAGGCUGGUGAUUUGUGUUUUUUUCCAAGAUUUAUAACAUUUGGAGCAUUAGACGGUGAAUGACUUAGUGAGGAACUAAGGAUUAUUGUCUGUGUGUGACGUUUUUCUUUUUGGCCAUUUGAGGUAAUAUGCAUUAAAGCAUGCAAUAUUAUUUGUUGCUACAGAGCUCUUGUUUGAUCGUGUGUGUCUGUUAUUUGACUGCUUUUUGAAAGUACUUUCUAUGUCAUUUCCUCCUUUGAAAUCUCUUUUAAUUGCAGGAUGCCAUAAACUCCGCUUCAUCGAUCGCUAAAGCCUUAAGUGGGGAAUUUGCUGAAGGGCAACGGAAACUUUUAGCAAUUGCAGCUGCUGGAGCUAACUCAAAUGCUGCAACUUCAUUUUCUUCCCAACUUAGCAAUGGACCUUUAGGUGGUCUGCAUGACAAGGUAUGUCUGUUUCGCACAUUUAAUGCCUGCAUUAAACAUGAUUGCCAAAGUCAAAUCUGGCUAUUAAGUAUCACUUCUUUUAUAGUUGUUUCAGUUGGUUCCUACCUAGUUUAAUUUCUCAAAUGAAUUCCUAUCCCUCUCAGGUUGUUAUGCCCAUGGAUCCCACAAAAGAGCUAUCAAAAUUGUUAUCUGAAGGCAAAUACGAAGAAGCGUUCACAAUUGCGCUGCAAAGAAGCGACCUCUCUAUUGUUUCUUGGUUAUGUUCACAGGUAAGCAAAAAUGUCUUGUAUUUUCUAUUUGAAUUCUAGUUAAAACUUGAAGCCUUGGCAUUAGGUAAGAAAUUAUUCUUUUUCCUUUUUCUAGGUUGAUCUACGUACGAUUCUGUCAACUGCCCCUUUUCCUUUGAGCCAAGGAGUGCUGCUCUCCCUCUUACAGCAGUUGGCAUGCGACAUCAACAAGGACACUCCACGAAAACUCACGUGGAUGGUAGACGUGGCCACAGCUAUCAACCCAGGUGACCAAAUGAUUGCGGUGCAUGUGCGACCAAUCUUUCAGGAGGUCUACAAGAGAGUGCAUGAAAUAAGUAGCUCGCCAUUGCUUACAGGUGCAGACCAUGCGAGUAUCCGUGCUCUCAUUUAUGUCAUCAACUAUGUUUUAAUGACUUGUAAAUGAAGAAAACACAUGAGGAUUUUGGGAGUCACAGUUAAGUUUGUACAAGUUUCUGGUUGUUUUCAUGUAAGGACCCUCUCCUCUGCUUUGCGUUGCAUUAUCAGGACAGUUGGGGAGAGGGGGUCCUGAUUUUGUUAUCCAUAGAUAUUUUGAAACUGUACGAAUUAAUGAAGUAUUUCUCAGAAAGAAAGGGAAACAAAACGUUAGCAUUGAUUACAUACAUUACAUGUAAAUACAAGUAUAUACAUAACUAGGCAGUGAAAAAUUCAACCGAGGAGAGGCGAUGCGAUUCAAUCACCAUUGCCUCUGCACACCGUAGCUAGAACAUAUGGAAAAACACCCUCUGGCACGGAAGAUGGUAUCAAAGAAACCAUUGAACUUUUCGGAUAUGGUUGUGUAGAAUAUGCAAUUAGCAGGUUAAUAGUAGGGAAGGACUUGAAAACGCCGAAUAUAUCUUGUUUCAUCUCCGGGAUCAGUCGAAUGAUUAUUGGUAAGUAUUUCUGAAAAAAUGAAGGCUUUAUGUGAAUUCACUCGGAGUCAAAGGGAGAGAAAUUGUAGAGAGCUUGGAAGAGGCUUAGCCAAUUAAUAAAGUGGUAAAGGGAUAGUUUGAGGGAGUGACGCUUAUGCCACAUGUUCUCCUAUGAUUAGUGAGCUUGUUAUUCAAAAGUGUUUUUUAGCUAUGUGAUUUGUCGUGAUGGGAUUGUAGGGUAUGUUAGUAGUACGUGACAGCAAUCAUAUUCAACUAAUUGAGCUUGGUGUGGACUUAGUCUUUUAGGUGGGCGUGAAGGUUGGUGGAGCACUUUGGUAGGUUUUUUUGAGACUUCUUCAACUGGUGGAGGCUUGGGAUAUAUGUAACAAUCUUGCAUAUUCAAGAGAUUUUGACGGCUUUCAUCCACAGUUUCUAAUUGAAGAGAUUUUGACGGAAAUCUAAGAACUAAUGUACCAGUUUUAUCGAUAGUUGAAGCCUUUUUGUGAAGGUUUAAUUUGGCUCCAAGGGGCUUUGUUACGACAUGAUCUCCCUAAUCGGAGGUGUGCAUGCCAGUGAUCUAAUGCUGCUUCUCCUCCGAUCUCCGACAUCGGGUACUCUCUCGAUCUUCUCCGACAGCCAGGGUGACUGCAACCAGGGUUUCUUCUAGGGCUAAUCCUUGGUGCUUUUAGGUCCAUUGUACGUUUUCAUAUUUUUUUUUCUUUUUUUAUGACUUUUUUGGGUCUUUAUGUUGUACCCAGUUUAAAAAAAAAUCCUACUAUUAUUCAUAACACUUUUAAACACUUAAAUUAUAAGAUAAUACUUACUUAAACUCAUUUAAAUUUAUAUCCUCUUUAGCUUAAUUAACUUUUAACAUUACAUGCAUUGCAUGUGAUUAGUUACUUUUUCUAAAUAAUUUUUUAAAAUUAUAAUAAUUAACGUGAAAUAAUAUUUAUUAUUUAAAUUAUUAAAUAUAAUUAAAACAUAUUAUCUUAUCAUUUCAAAUAUUAUAAUAAGAAAUUUUCAAAUUAUAAUUAAAACAUUAUUUAACAUAUUUCAACAAACAACAUUGUUUUAUUUUAAGUAAUUAAUACAAAAUAAUAUUAUUCAAAAUAAUAACUGAUUACAUAAUAAACUCUAAUAUAUUAAUGAUAAUUAAAAUAUUUAGAAUUUUAUUCAAAUAAUAAUUCUAUUGUAAAUUAAUAAAAUUAAUACAAUUCUUUAAAAUAAAAUUAGCACAAUAUUUUAAAAUAAUAAUUAUGAAUUAAAUUAAAAUUAUUUUUAAAUAUAUAAAUAUCACCACCUCUAUUUUAAAAUAUAAAAUUUAUAAUUAUAGAAUUAUAGAGUAAUCGGCUAACACAAUAUUUUAAAAGGGAAAAAAGAAAAAGAAUUGAAAGGAGUUUAAGUAAAAGUCUAAAAAGGCCGCGUGGCAGAGAAUCGUCGCCACCUUUCUCUUUCUCCUUUUGUUUGUAUUACAAUUUUUAUUUUAUUUUAUAAUAAAUUCUACCAAAUCCUAAUUCCAAAGCACCAAUUUCGUCAUUCACCAACAAAUAUAUGUGUGUAUAUAAAUAUAUAUAUUUUUCUUCUUCUACUACUCCACUUAUUCCCAUUUGCCACGCCCAACUCCACAACGCCAAAUUCAAGGUUCCUCUCUUUCUCUUUUUUUUUUUCCCUCUUAGAUUCAUAUUUUUAUCUUUUUUUUUUCAAGAAUUAACUUAUUUUCUUCACUUUUUUAUAUGAGAUUUUCUCGGUUUAUUUUCCCUCUAUUAUGUUGACGUUUCAAUUUACUAGUAUUUUCUUCGGUUUUUUUUCCCAUCAUCGUUUCGUAAUCUGAUUAUGAUGGAUCGGCGUUUAACGUUUUCUCUUUCUCUUUUUUAAUUAUUUUUAAAUAACUAAGCUGUUUAAUCUAAUCUCAUGUUUUUUUUUUCAUCGUUUUUUAAAUGCCUCCACACUAGAUUUUCACUGGCCACCGCUUCAUCAGUAAUUUUAUCCUGAAAAUUUUAGGAUAAGGUUGAAAAUCUCAUAUUAGGUUUUCUGUUGACCGGGUUGACUAUGAAUUAAUUUAAAAAAGGGGUUUUUUUGUUGCUGUGAUUGUUGAUUUAGAUCUUUGAUUAUUUUAAUUCAAUAUUGAUUUUUGCUGCAGUUUACCAACCUUAUUGUUUAUUUGUUCGAGAAUUAGAGAGUUUUUUUGAAUACCCAUGGCUUCGAAGCGGAUUAAUAAGGAGUUGAAAGAUCUGCAGAAGGACCCUCCUGCAUCUUGCAGUGCUGGUUUGUGUUUACUUUUCUAGUCACUCAAUUUGUUGAAUUUAUGUCUUUAUAUGGUAUUCUUUGAUAGUUUACUUGAAGAUCCGCUGAUAAUUUGAUAUAUAUAAUAUAGUUGAUUUAAGGUGUCAGUUUUAAUUUGUUUCCACUAUGAAAGUGUGGAGAUAUUUUUGAUUAAUAUAUCCAAAAACCCUAGCAAUGUCCAGUGGCUGAUAAUUCGAUUAUAUAUAAUAGUUUUGGUUUAAGGUGUCAGUUUUAAUUUGUUUCUGCUUUGAAAGUGGCAACUGGUUAUUGGUUUUAGAUACACAAGAGAUAUUUUGAUUAAUAUAUCCGAAAACCCUAAUAAUGGUCAGUGUUGUAGAAGAGAACACGGUCAGAUUGUACCUUUUCAUGAUAUUUAUUAUUAUUGUUUAAAUAAUGUUUUGCUUGUAUACAGGCCCUGUUGGUGAUGAUAUGUUCCACUGGCAAGCAACAAUUAUGGGCCCAGCAGACAGUCCUUUUGCUGGAGGACUAUUUCUUGUUUCCAUUCACUUCCCCCCAGACUAUCCAUUCAAGCCUCCCAAGGUAAAUUUUUUAAAAAUAGAAGUGCAAAUAUGUUCUAUCAUGUGCAUAUACCUAAGUAUGUAUGUAUGUUUGCGGGUUAUUGGUGUUUGGGAUAAAGCUAGAUACACUGUAAUAAUCACGUUCGGGGAGUUUUAUUAUUUAAAAUAUGCUAAAAAAUGGGCCUUGUAAUGGUGUCCAUGUUUCAACCCUGUUUUGGUUUUUGCGUCUUCAAACACUGGUUCACUGAAGUUUAAAUGAAUGCCUUGAACAUGUAUUAGAAAAACCUCUUUGUUUGUGUUUGUUAUUUUGUUGCUAUGAUUCAAUCUAUGUGCCUUUGAUUUUGUUACUUCAAAAGUGUAGCUUAUUAACUGCUAUAUCUAUAGCUUAUUUUGGUUACUGAAGUUAGCGUAUAUAUGUAUGCAUGUAUAUGUUAUAUACUACAUCGGAAAAACUAGGUGUUUCUUUCGAGUUAUACUUGAGCUGAUUGUCGUCUUUAUGUUAAGGUUUCUUUCCGAACAAAGGUUUUCCAUCCCAACAUCAACAGCAAUGGAAGCAUCUGUCUUGACAUUCUCAAGGAGCAGUGGAGCCCUGCCCUUACCAUAUCCAAGGUAAAUAUACUUAUGCCUCGUUUGGUUAUUUAGUGCCUUAACACAAGGAAAACGCCUCAUAAACUUGGUAUUAGAAGGAUGAGUAAAAACUACGAAGCAUUAAUGUAAUCACUAUCAUGAAAUCCUCAUGAGUCACAAGCAGACAACAGUUAUUACCAUCAAAAUACGAUUCAAACCCGAACAUGGAACAUUAUUAUUAACCAACUCCUAUUUAGAUGUCUUCUGUUAAGGAAUCUUGUUCUUAAUAACAUGCAAAAUGUGUGUUAUGUACCCAUUGCAGGUGCUGCUUUCAAUAUGCUCACUUCUCACAGAUCCAAAUCCUGAUGACCCUCUGGUGCCUGAGAUUGCUCACAUGUAUAAGACUGAUAGAGCCAAAUAUGAGAGCACUGCUCGCUCAUGGACUCAGAAACAUGCAAUGAAUUAAGGGUCGGUCAGGCUUAGGAUGCUAUGUUUGAUACCUUUUACUAAAUAAUAGUAGUAAUAACUUUUGUCGUUUGGAUACUUUGAUAAAGUGGUGGUGUGGUGUAAUAAGCUCUAAAGUCUUUCAGAGGGUAAUUUUUUUCCAAUCAAGGUACUUAAAAUUACUAUUAUAAAUAUAUUCGACAGUUCUUAUAUUUGUGUCAUAUUCGUCUUAUAUUUAUAUAUAAUAAAAAUAAUUACAUAUAUUAUUUAAUUUGUUUUUAAUUAUAUAAUAAAGAAUGAGUUAAGUAUGUGUAAAUAUAAAAACCAAUGCUUAAAAAGUUUCUCAGAAACUAGGAUCAAAUAAGAAAGACAAUGCAUUCUGCUUUUCAAUUGAAAAAUAUCAACUGUAGCCUACAUUGACAGAUGAUGAGAUGAAAUUACAAUGAGUAUAAUUGAGAUCUUGGUAAAUGAGUUUGAUGAGAUGAAAUUACAAUGAGUAUAAUUGAGAUCUUGGUAAAUGAGUUUAAUUAUUUUUGGGGGUUGAACUUAAAAGUAUAAAAAUUGAUGAACUUAAAAUUAAAUGUUCAAUUUAGCUUGAGUUUGAAUCUAAGGACUUGAGCUUGGCUUGAUUGCAGACAUAGGCACUGUUCCCUGGUGUCUAUAUGUCACCAAGAGUCACUACCCGGAGUCACUAACCGGUAGACACGAAACCCCGAGAGAACUUAACUUGGUAAGAUGACUCUUGUUACCCAUCACCACCAUUCUCAUGCCGAACUGAAGGGGGUUCACAAUCUGAUCAUGUACAGAGUAGUUUGUCAUCCAUCCAGCGCCUGAAGUUUUCCAUGCAAAAGCUCUUCCCCGGAAUUGCGACAGUUUCGUUGGCUUACGCGUUCGAAAUCCAAACUUGGCUUGCUUCCGUAAGAGGCUCAAGUCAAAGGUGGAGCUUCAGGGAAUUGCUUCCAUUGUUGCAAAUAGAGGCAAGCACUUUAGAUGGUGAGAGUCACGAGAUAACUGGCAGAAUCAUCUGCUCACUCACAUUGCAAGCAAGCUUGAAAGUAAGUGUGGGCAAGGAAAGAUUUUGUUCAAGGAUACGAGGAUAUACCCUAUUUCCUUCCGAGCUCUUAAAUUGAAGAAGAUACUGGACAUUAGGACAGGUCUUUUUCUAUACAAACCCAUGGCAACAGCAACAAUGUUAAUUAAAGUAAUACGAAACAAUAUCAAUGUGAAUCGAGUCAAACUUUCUUGUGAGAAGAGAGGAGAUACUGGACGUCGAAACUUACUUAUUUUGCAAAUGCUGAUUCUCUCCUAUCAAGAUUACAUUAUCAAUUUGGAACUAGUUGAGCGCUCAGAAAUGGGAAGAAAAUCAAGCUGAAUUUCAACCUCAAUCUCAACAGAAAAAAGUUUCAGAUUUUGCUCAACAAUGUAAGAAAAGCUCAAUCUCAAUCUCAGUAAAUUUCAACCAACCAUGAAUGAAUCCCCGAAGUAAAAAGAAAAUCCGAUUCAAUUCGAUCCAACCAAGAAAGAAAAAGAAAUGGAAGAAUAUGAAGAAAACAACAAUUUUGAUCUCAGUUUAACUGCUGUAGUAAACAGAUUACAAUACCAUGAUGCAAAGCUUGAACACAAAACUUCAAGAAGAAUCAGACAAACUUCAAAUUUCAAAUCAAUGGAAAAAAAAAACAAUGAAAAAUCAAAGCAAACCUCUCUAUUCCGACCCUUUGACCCACAAUUUUGAAUUAAAAAUGAGAAGAAAUUUUAAAUUUCUACAAAUUUGUAGUAGUCGAAGAUGGAGCAGAGCGGACCAAUCCUGUGGACACGGCGUCGUUUUCGUCGAGAAAGAGUCCAUCGGAGUUUCUAAGAAGAGCGUGGACGCCGCAGACGAGGACCCCAAUCCCUAACCCUAAGGACAAAUUUUGAAAUACUCCGCAAAUCCAGACGGCCAGCACAGAAAGGAAAGCUAAAACUAGCAGCACGAAGCGAUCGUUGACACUGUGGCCCCAUACCACGAGUGGAUCCUCCCGAAAAAAGUAGAGGAGAAGCCAAAGAGCGAAAACGGCGGAGCAUAGGAGGAGGGAAAGUGGAGAACCGAUGAGUGAGAAGGCGGAUGUGGCGGCUAUCACGACGGCAUAAUUGGCGCGAAAAUAAUGUAUGUUAGCGGAAGCGUGGGAUAGAAAAGAGUGGGGACGGGAGAAAGAUUGGGAACCGGAGCCCAAUAGCUGGGGCCAGGGGCGGAGGUGCCGGGAGAGGGUGACGGAAAGGUUGUGAAGGGAGCGGGAGAGGACGUCAGAAGCUGAGAUAGGGAUUGUGGUGUACGUGGCGGAUGUUGAUUGGUGGUUCUCCAUCUCGUCGUUAUUUCGAAGUCCAGUUUGUUUUUGUUUGGUUUUUAUUUUUUGACCUCCGACGAGAAGAAAAGAGACGAGAAGAUACGAAAACGAGACGGGACGGGACGAGACGAGACAAAGACAAGACAGCAACCACUAACUUUUGCGUUCAAAAGUCCAAAGCUGAAAAUGUCGGACGGCUUUUGUUUGGUUUUAUCGUAGUUGUAAUGUUCAGUUGGGGAUGACAUGCGAGUUUAUUUUCUAAUCUUAUUUUUUCUUUAUUUUAUUUUAUUUAUUACCAUCUACAGCAGAGCAGUCAAAGUUAACUAAAGCACACCAACAAUGAGCUAUAAAAAAUCAUUUUCGUCAAUUUUAAGCCUCUCAUUUUUUUAAAUAAUUAACGUAAAAAAAUUGUACGAAACAGAGACGUGAUAUCAUUCUAUACACUUUACUAAUUAUUUAAUGCAUUUUCAAUAUCUUUUUUUAUAUCAUUAAUACAUCAUUUUAAUAAUUUUUUUAACCUAAUCUUUAAACUUUAAAUUCUAAACUCCAGACCUCAAAUUUUAAAUCUUAAACUCUAGAUCUUAGACCUUAGACUUUGGACCCUAAACCCAAGAUGAGAUCCAAG